AUAUCACACAAUUUCUUUCUUUUUCUUUUCUUUUUUAACAAUAAAUCACAAAGCUUAUUAUCAGACAGAAGCAGCGUUGCCGGAAAAUGGCUUGCCUCAAUGCCCGACGAUCUCUAUCCACCCGUUUAAGCCGCGCCCUCACUGCUUCUUCUUCCUUUCCUUUCCGUUCUCGCCUCACCGCUGCUCUCCUCAACAAAACCCCAAUUUUUAUCCCCGUAGCAACCAAAAUCCUGACCCGAACCAAGACAUCCGGGUCUGGCUACUCGCCUUUGAACGACCCAUCUCCUAACUGUAGUAGCCCACGACCAUCGGUUCUCCUAGAUGACAGUUCUUAUGAGCAUUGGCUUAUCAUUUUGGAAUUCCCAGAACGCCCGAAACCUUUGGAAGAAGAAAUGAUGGAUGCCUAUGUUAAAACCCUUGCUUCUGUUGUCGGCAGGUUUUUAAAUAAUAAUUAUUCCUUCAAAUUCCAUUAAAUCUUGGUUUUAUUUUCUUUUUUGUUUGUUCUGAUCUUGUAGUGAAGAGGAAGCGAAAAAGAGAAUAUACUCUGUUUGUACAACGAUCUAUACUGGGUUUCGUGCUUUUUUCUCUGGGUAUCUGAUUGAUGAACUUGGAGGUAAUUUCAUUUCCCAUUUACUACGGUUUAGGGUUUACAUGGUUUUCCCUGUUUCUAGUGUAAUUGGAACAAGAAAUGGGUUUUUUGAAACAAUAGGUUUUCACUUUUUAGAAAGAAAAAAGAAUUAACAUUUGUUUUCAUUGUGUGUGAUGUGUUGUUAGCUGUUUUAGGGUUUUAAACCUCCCGAUGUGAUUGCUUUCUAUACUAAUUUAUUAGGGUUUAAACGGUUUUCCCCAAUUGCUUUUGUGAGUGUUUUUGAACUUACAAUUGAUGAGGCAUCCACUUUGUUCUAAAAUCAAUUGGCAUUAUGUUUCUACAGAGUUACCUCGUGUACGCUAGGUUUUACCAGUUCGGUGUUGUAGCCGAGAUCAUUAUUAUGCAGGUGGGUAGCUUAAAGAUCUUACAGCCAUUGAAGUUCCCACUGUCAACAAAUUUAAUCUCUUUUUUAUUGGUGGAUUGAUUGCCAGGGGAUCUGUUUGUUGAUGGGAAAGUCCUUCAUAGACCGCAAUUUCCAUGGGUUGGUGUUCCAAAUAGCAGCCACAGAGUUGGAGGAUGUGGUGAUCAUGAGCUUUGGCUUAUCACUUUCGAAUGCCGGGAAGAACCUUCCUUAGAAGAAAAGAUUGAUUUCUAUGUUAAAACUCUCGCUUCUGUUGUCGGCAGGUUUUUGAUUCCUUCAAAUAUGCGUUUUUUUUCCUGGAAUUUGAGAAAUGGGUUUUAUUUUUCUUUUUUGUUUGUAGUGAAGAGGAAGCGAAAAGGAGAAUAUACGCUGUUGGUGGUAGACUAACGAGGUAUACUGGGUUUCGUGCUGUUAUGUCUGAGGAGAUGGCUUAUGAACUUGAAGGUAAUUGCAUCUCCCAUUUAUUAGGGUUUACAUGGUGUUCUCAUUUAUUAGGGUUCAGUGUUUAGAAUUGGCGUUAUGUUUGUCUAGGGUUACCUCUUGUAGAAGGCGUUUAUCGGGAUUCAGAGGUCGAAUAUGAAGAAGAUUUUGAAGGAGGUGGGUAGUUUAAAGAAUUCAAGAUGAUGUUUGUUGCUUACUGCCAUUGUCAACAAAUUUAAUCUCCUUUUUCUUAUUAGGCCAUUUGCUCGUUGAUGGGAAAGUCGUUCUUAGACCAACCUCUUUUAGCAUGAAACGACUAGAGGUGGGGAAACUGCCGGGAGUAUUACAUUUCCUGCAAGACCAGAUCCUUGACGUUAUUUAUUGGGAAGAAACCAAAAGCAGCAGCGGUGGCAAAAACUGAUCUCGUGCAGGAUUACAUCUUUUCCGAUAUUUAUAAUCGUAAUGAUUGAUAAUUAUUUGAAUUAUUAACUCGUGCUAUUUAGGUCAACAGAAGCCCUAAUCACCAUUCCUAAUAAAUAUUAACUUUAUUUACUGUUGUUAUUAUAUACAAAGUAUAUAAUUUUGAUUUUGAUAAUAAUUAUUGGUUAUUUAUAAAUUUAUUUUAAUAUCUUUAAUGAGUGGAUUAAUACCCAUCAAUUAGUAGAGAAACAUAUUUUAGAGGCCAAGUCGAUUUGAUGGUUGUUAAAUAUUAGAUAAGAAAAUUGUUUGAGUUUUGAUCCAUAGAUUCAUAAUGUUUAAAGUUGUUUUAUUAAGAAAAAAACUAUAGAAAAGAAAAUGAAUUAGAGCUUUUGAUUGUUCCUUUCGAGUAAAGGUAUUGAAUUUUUUGAUCUUUGUGUACAUGGAAGGGAAAUAAUUAUUCUUAAUAAAAUUUUCUAGAAACGCCUUACCUUUACAAAAUAGCGAUUUUGGAUCUAACAAAUUUUUAUAUACGACAAUAAAUACAACUUGCAAACUCAUAAGAAAGGUGUCACUAUUAGUCUUGUUGGAAAUAUUAAUUAUGUAUGUUGUGCAUGUGGAAAAUCGAACCUUUUAACUAAAGAGUUAUAUGCCUUACCUUAGCAUACCUGGUACUUGGCUAUCACUUGGUUAGGGUUCAAAUUCUAUGAUGUUCAUAAAUUCAUGAUAUUUAAAGUUGUUUUCUAGAAAAAAAACUAUAGAAAAAAAAAUGAAUUAGAGCUUUCGAUUAGUGUAGGCGAUGAGAAUAGAAAAGACCAUACAACAAUGAUUUCAACAACUCAGCAACUUAAAUAAAAAAUUUUGAAUAAUUAAAUAAUAUUUUGUAACUUUUUAAAGUUGAAUAACCGACACAUAAUUUUACUUAUAGUUUAAUGACUUUGAAUGUAAUUUAAAUUAUUUAAAAUAAAUAGUAUCAUUAAAUAUAAAUAUCAUAAAUCUAAAAGGUAAAUAGUAAAAUUUGAAAAUCAAUAAACUAGUGUAAAAUUUUUAACGGAUGAUAUAAUUUUAAAAAACAAAUAAAUUUAUCAAGUGAUAAAUAUAUCUUAUUAAAAAUAUUAGAUCACGAUAAAACAAUUAUUUAAAAGUAUAUAUUUAUUAAAAAUUAUGUCAAAUGAUAAAGUUGAAGAUUUAAAUUUAAAUUUUUGCUUAUAUUUUUUUGAGUUUAGAUAAAAAUAUAAGAAGAUAAAAACAUAUUUAUAUAAUAUAAUUUAUUUUGUGAAAAGUAUGAUUUUUAAUUUUUUUUAAAUUGAAUGAUUGUAUAGAUAAAUUAUUGGUUUAAUAUAUUAUUUGGUACCCGAGUUUGAUACAUUUUCUUAAUGUGGUACCUAUCUUAUUUUUUUGAUUCAAUUUAAUAUACGAAUUUAAUAAAAAUUAUACGUUUUUUAAUAGUCUAAUAUAAUGAUUUUAAUUUUUUAGAAAUAUAUUGUGCUAAAUAUGAAUAAAGAUAAGAUAUGAUACAAAAUUUCUAGAUUUUUUAACAAUAAACCGGUUAUACUUUAAUUUCUAAUACAAUUACAUCCUAUAUUUUUAUAAUUAUACUCACGGCAUCAACGUAAUUAAACCACAUACAUCACCACAUAUAUAUAUAUAAAAGAUCGAAGGCGGCGAAUCUUAUCUUCCCCAGGAGUAGGGAAACAGAUUUAAGCCACUAGUCCUAUCUCCCUGGUCAGCAGUGGGAUAGGUUGAAGAUUACGAAUCUUAUCUUCCCCAGGAGUAGGGAAUCAGAUUUAAGCGACGAGUCUUACUUCCCCGACAUCACAGCUAAGCAAAUUAAAGUUACGAGUUACAAAUUCUAUCUCCCCUACGUUGUGGUGGAGUAGACCGAUGCACCAAUUCCUAUACCUCUGAGAAUGCAGUAGGAUAGAAUGAGGCUACGUGAAGAAAAGAGCACCAAGGUCCAACAUGACCGGGCAAAAUUGGCCAUUUUAAGUCUUUGCUCCAUUCCUGUUACAUGACAACGAGCAAAGAGGGGCAGCUGUAAUGGCCCAAAUUUGCCCGGCCCAAAUCAGAAAUAAAUAAACAAAAAAUAUAAACCAAUAAAAAAUAGUCCAUUUUAAAUGUCCAUUUACACAGGGCUUAAUAUGGCCCAAACUAAACACGACCCAACUAAAAUCAAACCCAAAUACCCCUAGCCCAAAUACCCUUAGCCCAAAACCCCAAACAGAAACCUUAGGGUUUUUGAGAUCUCAGCGUCGUUGCCCUCACAUGCCCCAUGAACAUAGCCUCCAGCGCCUUCAGUCUUCCUCUCUACGCGCGCCACGCCAACACCUCCGUACGCGCCUCCGUACACUGUACUUGCAAGUGAAACAAAGACAAAGCAACACACAAAGAAACAGAAAAGGAAGAAAAGAAAAUAACAAAAUAGCAAAUAGAAAAAAUAGAAGAAAAACAGAAGGAGCAGAGAGAGGGGUUAUUUAUUUUUCUUUCUUUUUUCGAUUCGGCUAUAUAAAGCCAGAUACACCAUUGUAAAAGGGGAUCCCAUUUUUGAAAAAAAAUCAAUAAAAAAGAAAAGAGCAUAUAGCAGGAAGUCGAAGGUGAUUUCAGUAUUUUUUAUAUUAUUUUUGUUUUCUUUUUCUUUUGUUUUCCUUUCUUUUUUCAUGGUUUUCAUGUGUUAAAACGAAAGAGAUAAUAAACAAAAGAAGAGUACACUUACCUGGUGGCCGACUUGCCUUCUACUCCGUCGCAAUCGGAGCCGGAUGGAGGUUAAAGGCAUGAAACAGUGCGGAAUUGAGAGGAGAGUGCUUAGGUUCUUGUUUCAAAGGGCAGAUCUGGUUUAGUUUAGGGUUUCUUUUUUAUUUUUAUGUUAAUUAUGGAAACGGCUCCAAACGGUACCGUUUGAAGUUUCCAUAAUAGCUUCCAAACGGUACUGUUUUGGUGGCCAUGACCCGCGCUUGAACCCUACCCGGAUGAGGCUAGAUCCGUGCAUUUUGGAUCGAAGGGAAAUUUGCGCAAUGAGCCCCUCACAUUCUGUUUCGUUUUAAUGCAGUUUUUUUUCUUUGAUUUCUUUUAAUUGUUACCUCGCAUUUGAUUCCAUUCUCAUUUAGAUCCACAGUUGGACGGCGUCGUUUUCACUGAUCGGAUUUGUGUUUAAUUUCUGUUUUAGUCCCUCUGGUAUGCAAUGGUUUUCAAUUUGAUGGUCUUCAUAUUUAUUUCAAAGUAGACCCUAAUAUUUUGUUUUAUUUUUGAAAUUGUCCUUGUUUUUACUAUUUUUUAUUUUUUUAAUUAUAAUACUAUUAUUAUUAUUACUACUAUUACUACUAUUAUUAUAGGUGUUAUUAUGGUAUUAGUUUGUAUAUUUAUUUACUUUUACUUUAUCUUAUUAUGUAUUUUUUUAAAUUCCUUUAUCAUGUAUUAUUAUUUAUUCAAUUAAAUAAUGUAUUAUUUUAAAUAUUCUUUACGACUAAUUUGUACACAUUUUUUAUAAUUUUAUUUUACAAUAUAUUCAUAAAUUCCAUUUUUAUAUAUUUCUAAUUUUAUUUAUACAAUAAUAUUUUCAUAAUUCCAUUUCAUGCAUAUAUACAAUAUUUAACUAUUUUUAUUAUACACAUGUAUGUACAUAAUAUGCUAUUAAUUUCAUUUUUUUACCUAUUUUCUAUAUAUAUAUUUCAUUUCUUUAAAAAGUCUCAAUUUUAUUUUACUCAUUCCAACCUUUUACAUACUAUCGUAUAUUAUUAUGAAGUUUUUCACUCCCUAUGUAUUACUUACUUUAAAUUAAUAUGUGUAUAUUAUUUUAUAUUUUUUAAUUUUCUUUUUAUAUAAUAUUUGCUUCAAAAUUCAUCUAAAUAAUAUUAUUUAUGUGUUUGUCUUAUUAAAUUUAUUUUGAAUCUAUCACAAACUCAUAUAUGGUUGAUUUUAAAACUUUUGUACAUAUAAUCUAUUGACCAUAAUUUAUCCUCUUGUUUUCUUUUUAUUUUAGUAUAUCAUUUAAAAUUGAUUAUUAAUUCUUUUUGGGUUUUUGAAUAUUGAUAUUGAUACUUGUACGAUUAAAACUAUUGCUGCUAUUCUUAUUUGUAUUACCUUUCGCUUGCUUGUUAAUUCUUAGAGUAUGUUUGAGUUGCUAUUUAUCUUUUAUAUUGUAAUUCAAUCAUGUUCCAUUUGUAAAAAAUUUGCAUUUUAAAGCAAUCACUCUACUUCAAUUUUUUCAAGAAGGCCUAGUGUUCAUAGCUCUCGAGAAAAUUGUGCCCUAACUUACUGGGCUUUAAUUCUUCUCGAUGAAUUGGAAUAGCCAAGUGCUUGUUUUGGUAAAGCCCUACAACUUUAAAAUGAAGCUUCUGAGACUUCAAAAUGUUGGAUCCUAACUUACUGGAUGUAAUAUUUUGUUAUCUCGAAAUAAAAAUAAAGGCAAUAUUCGAUAUUUAAGAAUUUUGUGAAAUCGAACCCUAACUUACUGGGUUUUGAUUUUCUCAUUUGACCCAAAUAAUCAGAUAUCCUUCUCAAAAUGCAUAGGUUUUAAAAGUCAAAAGAUAAACUUAAUUUUGAGGAUUUAAAAUGUUGCACUCUAACUUACUGAGUGUGACAAUUCAUUUCUUUGAAAUAAGUGAAUCUCAUCAUCCAAUUUGGUUUAUUCAAAUUUAAACUUCAAAGGAUCGUAUUUUAAAAUCUUUUUAAAAUUUCGACUCCAAGACAUUAAACAAUCAACUUGGUACCAAUUUUGGGCGUUACGAGGGUGCUAACACUUCCUCAUGCGUAACCGACUCCCGAACCUACUUUCUCAAAAUUCGUAGACCUAAAAUCAUUUUCAAAGUGAUCCGAUCACACCUCAUUAAAAGAUCGGUGGCGACUCCCAUUUUCGUUUUUAAGUCGACAACUAAAUUUUUAUUUUUAUAAAAAAUGGUUUCGACAAAAAAUGCAUCCUAUAUUUUUAUAAUUAUACUCACGGCAUCAACGCAAUUAAACCACAUACAUCACCACACACACACACACAUAUAUAUAUACACACACAAUGUUUUUGAGACUCAAGAUAAAUAUUAAAUACAAGUAUGUGUUUGAUGUAAUGAUACUCACUCUUUUCAAAAAAAAUCUUUUUCAUGUAUUCAAAGAUAGGUGUUGUGUCGUCCCUUACAUGGCUCACACGUGGUAAAUUAUUUUGUAAAUUUUAAAUUUUAAAAUAAUUGUUCAUAAUUUAUUUUGUUAAAUUUAAGUCCAUAACAAUGAUAUCAAACAUUUUUAUUUCAAAUGAUCAAAUCAACAAAUUUCAUAAUAAAAAAUUUAAUUGAGUUAAUAAUUGGACUUUAAUUUUGAAAUAUGAAAAAUAAAAUCAGCAAAUUCUUAAAAGUAUAUAUAUAAUGACUAAAUUGAAAAAAGAAAUCUAAAAAAACAAAAGACAAAACGUGCGUUAAGGAUAAAUUUAUAAUUCACCAAUGCAUUUUGAUGAAUUUUUAAAAAAAAAUAUUUUAAGAUAUAUCAUUUAAUAGAAGAGUUAUAUCUUGUUUAAGUAUAUAUAUGUAAAAAAAUUAUUUAAAAUUAAAUUAUUAUUUUUGGUAAAUUUUCAAUUAUGCUUUGAGAAAUUAAAAUAAUUACAUUUAGAUUGGGAUAUAUAAAACCUAAAUAAUAAAUAAACAAAAAUCAUUACAAUUUUUUUUAUUUUUUUUAAAAAAUAUUAUUAUGUUGUAAGAAAAUAAAUCAAGUGUGAUUUUGGAUGGGUGAUGGCUGUGGUACAAUGAAACUUUUUAACUCACAGUUAUAGUGAUUAAUUUCACCACCACUAUUUUUAACCUUAUCAAAAGUAAACGCACCAACAAUGUAAAGGUACACUGAAUGUUUAAUAUAGGCGUAGUGUAAUAGUCCGAUUUUAGGUCUAGUCGGAACAGUGGUUUUGAGACCACAAAUCCGACGAGGAAAAAAAAUGUAAUGCCCUGAAUUUUCAAAGGUGUCAGAACGGUGAUUCGAGAUCACUAAAUUUGACAAAUGAGUAGAAAAUAUUAUUAAUUUAGUGAGUAUAAGUUAAAUGUGAAGUUAGGAAAAUUUUUGAAAUAGUGAAUAGUACACUAGAAAUAGAUAUUAAAAUAAUUAGAAUCGAAAAUGAGGUAUCGAGACCUCGGGGAUUUUAAACCGAGCCAUAAAUAUUUUUAUAAAUAUUUAUGGAGUGUUAAAAAGUUAGUAUUAAAGUUUCGUUAAGAAAUUUUAAAGUUCCGAUAAUUAAUUGAACAAAAAGGACUAAAUUCUUAUAUUAACUUCAAAUUGUGUCAUUCAUUUUCAAAAUAUUAUUCAUUUAUAAAUCGUUAUUCAAUUUCAAAAUGUUUUUUUAUUUUUAUUGCAGAAGCUUUUAAACAGUUUGCUUAUUCGAGGUGUUUUUGAUAAAACAUUAAUUUAAUUUGAAAACCCGAGUUUUACCUAACACUAGCAGAUUUAAAUCAUAAAACCGUAUAAAAUCCAAAUUUUAAACCAAAAUUUAUAAAUGCCAUAAUUACAGCAAAAUACUCCCAAAUAAAAGUAAAAUCAUAAAUAGGUAGUAAACAGUGUAAAAGAAGUCGUAUGGCCACCAUUGAGUCAUCCGCUGCACCGAUUCGCCUAUAUCUGGGGAUUACCUGUACAGAUUAAACAGAAAGUGUGAGUUUAUGCAAAGUCAGUGUGUAAUCCCCAUACAAAUGAACAGACAGUAAACAAAUAAUCACAGUCUGGGCUUAAGCUUUUUUCAGUAUCAAUAUCAGUCCAGUUUGGGCCUUAGCCCAUCUUAGUACAAAAACAGUUAUGCAGUAGGGCUUUAGCCUAUCAUAGUAUCAGUAGCAGUAACAGAUAUGCAAUCACAAAAAUCCUACCCAUCCAGCCUCUACAUACCAUCUCCGUCCAACCCUACACUCCAUGUGGGGAUAUAAUCAACCCACCCGUCCCUACACUCCAAGCAGUACUGAAUGCGGCACUAGAAAGUAGUUUGCAGCUGAGCUGCUAGUAAAUUAGGCUCGAGGCCUUUCAAUACACUUCCCCCGAACAAUAUAAUCCCCCAACCCAGUGCAAUGCAAUAUACAAAUAUGACAUGCUAUAACAUAAUAUCACACAUGUAAACAGGGCAUACAGUAUCAAAUCAGUAGGACAUCAUCAUGCUUAAUCAUAUCAGUCAUACAGUCAUUUUAGUCAAUUAGGGGUCUAGAUAAACUUACCAAACCUACAGUAGGUUCACAGUCGACUUGAGCGACCCGUACAACCUUAUCAGUCAAAUAGUGAAAAUGGGCCUACAAGCCCAUGAUGUUCGCCCAUGUGGGCCCACAUACUCAUGUGGCCCAGAUGACCUAAAUUGUUCAUAUGCGUUUCCACUAUUUAUUUAUAUGAUCCUUCAAAGCUGUCUACUUGAGUACUAUUACUAAAUUAUUUGUAUCUUAAUCUACAGAAUCCUGAAUUAAGAUCUGUAAAUUUUUCGUGAAACCAGAUUCACAUAUCUUCUUACCAUAAAAUUUUCAGACUUAUUGGUUUAGCUAAUAAGUACAGUUUAUUCUUUAAAGUUUCCCCUGUUUUGUUGUUUAACAAUUUUAAUCUUUCUGCACUAAAAAUUAAUUAUCUUCUCGUACAGAAUUCAGAUGAUGUUCCUGUUUGUUCUUAUGAAAAUAGAUUCAUUUAGGAUUUUAAACAUAUAAAUUCUAACCAUAAUUAUUUUUAUACAAUUUUUAAAAUUUUUCCAAAAUCAGGACAGGGGAUUCUGAAAUCAUUCUGACAUUGUCUCAUUAAAAUCCAAAUAUCUCAUAAUAUGAAAUUCUUUUUCUUACUUCGUUUAUUCUAUGAUAAACUAGACUCAAAUAUCUUUAAUCUCAUAUUCUUUGCAUCCUCUAAUUUGAUUUCCACAAUUUUUGGUGAUUUUUCAAAUUUAGCCUACUGCUGCUGUACAAACAGUAAGCAAUUUCGGCUUUUCGUCGAAUCCCUUAUUUUUGUGUUUCGGGUACACACUUGGUAUUGUUUCGCUGAAAAUAUGCUCCCAAGCACUCCAAGACCUAAAAAUAAAUAAUUAGAGCCCAAUUUAGAUCACUAACGAAAACUCACAACUGAAAAUUGUCUACAUCAAAAUCGAUAGCGAACCUAAACACUUACCGGCAACAAACCCAAAUUUCUAACACUCAAUUUGCUUGUGAAGCCGCAAUUGAUUUUUUAUUUUUGCCUAAACCAAGAGAGCCAAAAUAAUUCUUUUUAGGAAUUAGCUAAGAAACAAUAAAAUAGAGGCAGACAGAUACUUACAGAACGAGUGUAUACAAUUGCUGGCUCGAAAGUAGGCAAGUAGAAAAAUCAAACAAACAGGGUGGACUAAGGAGCAAAAAUUCGGCAAAGCAAAGAAAAAAUCGAAAGAGAUGUGGGGAGAAAACGUCAAAAAAAUGGAGAGAAAAACGACUCGUUUUUUUUUUGAAAAAGGAAAAAAAUGAUCAGAUUUUGGAUAAAAAUGAUCAGAUUUUGGAUAUAUUCCCCUAUAAUCCCCUAAUUCACUCCUAAAAUCGCUCCCUCACUUUGCACUACACAUCCACCACCCAGAAACCCAGUUCAACACAACUCUUGCCGAAAUUAGGAGGAAAAAAAAACCCUUACUAUCCCAAAGAUUCAAACCCAUGACCUUCACCAUAAUAACACACCAUUUAACCACUAAAUCAAGAAACCCAUUUUGAUGUAAUUUACCCAACAAUCAAAUAAAAGCCUACUAAAUAAGAGUAAGGUCCAAUUCAAUCAAAAUACCAAAAUUUUCCCAAGCAAAGGCUUGAACUUGGGAUCUCCAAAGCACUCCCAGAACACAUAACCAAUAAAGUUGACAGAUAUUUGUACCAUAUUUUUAAAAUAACGAAAUUAGAAAUUUUCGGAAGUUACAGGUAGUUUAAAGAAUUCAAGAUGAUGUUUGUUGCUUACAACCAUUAUCAACAAAUUUAAUCUCCUUUUUCUUAUUAAGAAUUUGCUUGUUGAUGGGGAAGUCGUCCUUAGACGAACUUUAUCGAGAAUGCAACAACCAGAGUUUGGGAGACUGUCGCGAUUACUAGAUUUCGUGUUGGACUAGAUACUUACCGAUAUUUAUAUUCGUAAAUUGGAAGAAACCGAAGCCGACAGCAGUGGCAAAACUAAAGUCAGGCAGGACUAGAUCUUUUUCGAUUCGUAAUUUGGAAGAAACCCAAACCAACAAUGGUGGCCAAACUGUCAUGAUUACUAGAUUUUGUGGGUAUAGGACUAGAUCUUUUCCAAUAUUUAUGUUCGUUAAUUAAUUCGUGUUAUUUAGGUCAACAAAAACCCUAAUCACCAUUCCUAAUAAAUAUUUGUUGUUAUUAUAUAAAUUAUAUAAUUUUUAUUUUGAUAAUAAUUUAAUAAAUACAUAAUAAAACUCAAGUAGUUCUAUAAAAAUAUUUUGUUAGUUAUUGUAUGACAUAGAAUAUUAUUGACUAUUUAUAAAUUUAUUUUAAUAUCUUUUAUGACAAUUUUAAAUUUUCGCUAAUGAGUUUCAAGUGGUGAUUUAACGAUUAGUACAGUUGAUCAAUAUUCAUCAACUAGUAGAAAAAUAUAACUUAGAUCCAAGUCGAUCUGAUGAUUAGAGAUAGGAUAAUAAAAUUGUUUGGGUCUUGGUUCAUAGAUUUAUGAUGUUCAAAGUUAUUUUCUAAAAAAAAAAACUAUAGAAAAGAAAACGAAUUAGAGGUUUCGAUUGGUGUAGGUGAUGAGAACAGAAAAGACCGUACAACAAUGAUUUUAACAACUCAAUGACUUAAAAAAACCUUUUGAAUAAUUAAAUUAUAUUUUGUAAUUUUUUAAAGUUUAUGUUUCAGUCACUAGGAUAGUAAGUUUUUUCUUUUUUAAAGUUUGGCUAAUGAGCUUCAAACGGUGAUUCAACGAUCGGUACAGUUGAUCAGUACCCAUUAACUAGUAGAAAAAUAUACUCUAGAUCCAAAUUGAUAUGAUGGCUAAUGUUAGAGAUUGCAUAAGAAAAUAAUUUAGAUUUUAGUUUAUAAAUUUGUUCAAAGCUAUUUUAUGAAAAAAAUGAAUUAAGUUUAGGUGAUGAGAACAAAAAAGGUCAUACAACAAUGAUUUUAACGGUCUAAUGACUUAAAUAAAAACUUUCAAAUAAUUAAAUAAGCAUUUUAAUGACAUGUAAUUUAAAUCAUUUAAAAUAAAUAGUAUUUGUUAAAUAUAAAUAUCAAAUAAUAGAAUUUGAAAAUCAAUCAACAAGUGUAAAACAAUGAGAUGGAUAUAUAUAGGAUGCAAGCACAAAUAGUAAAAAUAUUGACUUAAUUAGUUCUCUUUCAAAUUUAAAAUUAUCAUUAAAAAAAAAGUUGGAAGUUCUCUCAACAUGUCUCAGGUGUAACACCCCCUAACCCUAAACCGUCGUCGGAACAGGGUUACGGAGUAUUACCAGACAUAUCCAACAAUUUACUAAUAAUUCACAAAUCAAUAACAUAAAUAGUAUAAUUUAAUUAUUAAGUUCCUAUAAUGAACCCUCGAGGUCCAAAACACGUAUUUUUGUAAAGAGAGACCAAUUUGCUCAUUUUUAAAUUUGAUAGGGACCAAACUGUAUUUAUACUAAUCUGUUAUUCGAAUUAUUUGAGUUAUUCAAAUUGUAAAAAUUUAACUCGACUCGAAUUCGAAAUUUAAAAUUUCUUAUUCGAGUUGACUCAAAUAAUUUGAAUAACUUGAUUUUGUUAACUCAAAAUUUAAAUUUAUUUUCGUUUUUUCGAAUUAAAUCAAAAUUUAUUCCACCGUAAUUAGAUAUAAUCAUAGUAAUUGAGUUAUUUGAAUUAUUGUUCGCUAUUGGCCCUUAAUGAACCUUCUCUCUCCCCUUGGGGUGCAUGCAUGGGCGUAGACACAAAUACAUCAAAAUUUUGAAGAUUUGUGAUAACCGUCAUAGUGGAUCCCAAUCUUCCAACUAACAUCGACCAAAGCCUUUUAGGUAGCAUGUCAUCUUUAGAGCACCUUUUUGAUGAAUGAGCACUACACAAGGGGUUGUUUUUUUGGGUUAAAUUCUAUUGUUGGUCCUAAUACUUGCAUAGAGUUUGAGUUAAAACUUAUAAAUUUAAAAUUUUUAAUUUGUCAGUAGUUUCUAUUAAAACUUAUCAAUUUUUAAUUUUGGGUUAAAUUUUUUAUUUUUUAAAUUUAAAACUUCAUAAAAAUUAUAAAAAUAUUUUUAAAAAUUAUAAAAUAUUAAAAAUAUUUUUUAAUAUACCAUAUUAACAAAGUUAACAAAUAUUAAUUUUUCAUUCAUUUUACGGUAAAUUUGUUCAAAGCUGUUUUAUGAAAAAAAUGAAUUAAGUUUAUGUGAUGAGAAUAAAAAAGGCCAUACAACAAUGAUUUUAACGGUCUAAUGACUUAAAUAAAAACUUUGAAAUAAUUAAAUAAAUAUUUUAAUGACUUUGAAUGUAAUUUAAAUUAUUUAAAAUAAAUAGUAUUGUUAAAUAUAAAUAUCAAAUAAUAGAAUUUGAAAAUCAAUCAACAAGUGUAAAAUAUUUAAUAAAUGGUAUGAUUUUAAAAGAGAAAUAAAAAUUAUCAAGUGAUAAAUAGAGGUGAUCAUGGGCCGCGUCGGGCCUAGAAAAAAAUUUCGGCCCGCGUCCUAGGCCCGGGCCCCGCCCGACUAGAAAUAUGGGCCUAAAAUUUUGUCCAAGCUCGACCCGAGAAAAAAUUCCUAAGCCCGAGCCUGGCCCGGCCCGUUUUUAAUAAACACAAAAAUUGUAUUUUAAAAAUAAAAAAUAAAAAAAGUAUUUUAAAAAUAUUUUAAAAUUUAAAAAUUUAAAAAAUAUAUUUAUUGUAUAUUCGGGCAGGGCCCAGGCCAAAAAAGUUUUACCCGAGGCCCGGCCCGUUUUCUAAACGGACAUUUUUUUUGUCCAAACUCAUAUUUCGGGUCUAUAUUUUUACCCGAACCCUUCCAUAUUUCGGGCGAGCCGUCGAGUCAAGCCGGGCCGCCCAACCCAUGAUCACCUCUAGUGAUAAAUAUAUCUUGAAGAUUUUAUCCUAAAUUGUUAAACACAUUAAAUAAGUCAAUAAUGAUUAGAUUACGACAAAAUAAUUAUUUAAAAAAUAAAUAUAUUUAUUAAAAGAUUAUGUAAAAGGAUAAAGUUAAAAGAUUUAAAUUUCAGGAAUUAAAUCUUGAUAUAAACAUUAAUACAAAUUUUUAAAAAGAAAAGAUAUGAUUUGAUAUUCACAAAAUUUCUUUCUUCUCUAAUAAUAGAUCGGUGAACUAUCUAGUAGUGUAGAAGAACCAAAGCUUAUUAUCAGAGAGAACCUUCGUUGCCGGAACAUGGCUUGCCUCAAUGCCCGACGAUCUCUAUCAACCCUUUUAAGCCGCGCCCUCACUUCUUCUUCUUCUUCCUUUCCUUCCCGUUCUCGCCUCACUGUUGCUCUCCUGAACAAAACCCCAAUUUUUAUCCCCGAUGCAACAAAAAUCCUGACCCGAACCAAGACAUACGGGUCCGACUACUCGCCUUUUCGUGACCCUUCCCGAUUACCAGCGGUUGUCCUAUAUGGCCGUGGUGACGAACAUUGGCUUAUCAUUUUGGAAUUCCCAGAACGCCCAAAACCUUUGGAAGAAGAAAUGAUCGAUACCUAUGUUAAAACUCUCGCUUCUGUUGUCGGCAGGUUUUUAAAUUAUAAUUAUUCCUUCAGAUUUCAUUAAAUUUGGGUUUUAUUUUUCUCUUUUGUUUGUUCUGAUCUUGUAGUGAAGAGGAAGCGAAAAAGAGAAUAUACUCUGUCUGUACAACGAGGUAUAGUGGGUUUCGUGCUUUUUUUUCUAAGGAUUUGGUCGAAAAACUUAGAGGUAAUUUCAUUUCCCAUUUACUACGGUUUAGGGUUUACAUGGUUUUCCCUUUUUCUAGUGUAAUUGGAACAAGAAAUGGGUUUUUUGAAACAAUGGGUUUUCAGACAGAAAAAAGAAUUAACAUUGGUUUUCAUUGUGUGUGAUGUGUUGUUGGCUGUUUUAGGGUUUUAAACCUCCCGAUGUGAUUGCUUUCUAUACUAAUUUAUUAGGGUUUAAACGGUUUUUCCCAAUUGCUUUUGUGAGUGUUUUUGUACUUACAAUUGAUGAGGCAUCCAAUUUGUUCUAAAAUCAAUGGGCAUUAUGUUUUUACAGAGUUACCUCGUGUACGCUGGGUUUUAUCAGAUGACUUUAUCUAUGGUCAAGAUCGUUAUUAUGGAGGUGGGUAGUUUAAAGAUAAGCUUGUUGCUUAUAGCCAUUGAAGUUCCCAUUGUCAAUAAAUUUAAUCUCUUUUUUCUCAGGAGAUUUGUUUGUUGAUGGGAAUGUGAUUCAUAGACCCCCGCAGCACGGAGUUGGAGAAAGUGCUGAUUAUGAUCUUUGGGUUAUCAAAUUCGAAUCCCCGAGAAAUAUCGAUUUCUAUGUUAAAUUCCUCGCUUGUUUAGUCGGCAGGUUUUUGAUUCCUUCAAUUUUGGGGUUUUUUUUUCCGGGAAUUUGAGAAUUGGGUUUUAUUUAUCUUUUUCUGUUUGUAGUGAAGAGGAAGCGAAAAGGAAAAUAUACGCCGAUGGUGGUAGACUAACGAGGUAUACUGGGUUUUGUGCUGUUAUGUCUAAGGAGAUGGCUUAUGAACUUGAAGGUAAUUGUAUUUCUCAUUUAUUAGGGUUUACAUGUUGUUCUCAUUUAUUAGAGUUCAGUGUUUAGAAUUGGCGUUUUGUUUGUCUAGGGUUUCCUCUUGUAAAACGCGUUGAUCGGGUUUCAGAGGCCGAAAAUGACGCAUAUCUUGAAGCUAUGGAAUUAUUAUCAUGGGAAUUCCUUGAUGCUGUACCAACCUUUCAGAAAUUGCUAGCAAGAGAGGAGAGGAGACUGUUGCGAUUACUAGAUUUGGUGAUGCACCAGAUAUUAAACGAUAUUUAUACUCGUAAAAUGGACGAAACCGAAACUGAGGGCUAGGACCAGAUCUUUUCCGAUUUGGUGGAUUCAUAAAUCUCUUUAUUUAUUUAUUUUAAUUUCAAAAACUAUUUUAUUUAUUCGGUAUUAGAAGAGUCAUAAUUAUUUGAAUUAUUAAUUCGUGUAAUCUCCAUUCCUAAUAAAUAUUAAGUUUAUUUAUUGUUGUUAUUAUUUAAAAUAUAUAAUUUUGAUUAUUUAUAAAUUUAUUCUAAUAUCUUUAAUCAUUAUCUCAUUGUAGUCUAAAUCAUUGGUAAUAUAUGUUUUAAUUUCUGAAUUAUUCCCGCCGGACCAGUGAACAGGCCUUACUACUAGAAUAACCAACCCGGUGUCCUUAACAUUAAUUUCCCCGGAGGUGCACAAAAUUUUGGAUAUUAUUUUUGUACCACUGGUAGCAUGCUUAACUAAUAGCAAUAAUUUAUUCAGCUGCGGCUUCGGCAUGCACUUCCAUAUACAUAAAUCAAGUUAUAGGUUUUUUUUUUUUCCCUCAUGCAAUCGAUGUUCAAAGCUAAAUGAGAACACAACGAAGAUGCUUUCAUGGAAUUAGCAUAAUUGAUCCAGUUGUUCUGAGAUUCUCAGUAUUCGAAAUGUUACUGAAUUAAUAUUUAUCCACUAUACAGAUAGGGCGGAAGCCUUAUGAAGUUAUGGUUGAUUCUUCAAAGGGUUAACUCUAAAAGAAGAUCCACAUGCAAGUGGAUUACAGGAGCAGCCUAACAGAUCCCGGAUUGGUUAUUCGAAGAAAAACCCUCAAAACUCCAAUUCUGUGAUUGGGAGUAACUGAUGAAAUGAGAACCCUGAGUUCAUCUGUCAGUUCAUUCUUUGGUGUGAGUAGAAAAGAAGAUAUAGGACUUGCUUUAUCAUUCUUUUAAAAAACCAGAUCCCCUAUACACAUUUUAAAAAAAAUAUCAUCUUGUACCUUACUCUUGUACAAAAUUUGCUUAACUAUUUGAAUACAUUUGGUCAGGCAUUGAAAUGCAACAUUAUGAUACAUGUAAAAGGAACUCAUAAAGAGAACUUUGGGUUGCUUUUCCACAUGCUAUAUAAAUUAUGUACAGUGUGGGAGCUUACAUAGCCUUUGCAAAGGAACAUUGUGAUAUGUCUAUAAUGGAUAAAGGAGCAGCAACAAAAGCUCCACCAUCGGUUCAAAUGGUUGUGGAAGCAUUAGCCGGAGAUUUAGAAUGGUGAGACACGAAUGAUUCUACAAGUGGAUUCACAAGAUGUGGAGCUUCAUCCUGCAUGCACAUUACUAAUACAGCAAUGAAUUAUCAUCUUUGUUAACAGAAAAACCUGCCGAACCACAGUUUCAUGAGAGAGCAAACCUGAGGGCAGUGGCCAACAUUGGGGAGGACGACUCUACAGUAUAAAAAAUCCCCGUAGGCUCUUCCGAGUUCGAUGCUUUCCCAUGGAUCCUUGUCACCCCAUGCUAUCAAGACAGGACACUGCAAAAAGAGAGAAACAAGCAACAUAAACUAACACGGAAACUAAAGGGAAAAGAAGACGGCAUACGAGAAAUCAGUUUAAGAAACUUACUUCAACCUGCGGAAGUAAUUCCUCGGGCAGGGGACCACCUGUGUAGCAUAUGAACUCAAGAAAAACAUCAACAGCACCAGGCUCAAGUCCUGGAUGUAGGAUAAUCUGAACUAGUUCUUCGGUCACUUGAGAGGUGUCAUGGUAACACUGAAAUGAAACACCAGAAGCAAUCAAGCAAAGAUUGAUUCAUUUCUUACCAAAUUCAUCAUAGGAUACUACCUGACAAAGAAUACUUCUAACAGACUCCGGUGUGGCAACGGAUCCGAAGAAAAGUUACCGACUGCAGUGUUCCUGCCAAGAUAUCAUUACUGCCCGAAAAAUCCAUAUGGCUAGUGCAACAUUUCUAAACUAGAAUGUAAAAAUAAAAAUGGUUCCAUAUCGUUUUUUUACCUAAGCAAACUCCGAAAUGCGCAAUGAAAGGUCUUCCAAACCAUGGUUGCUUUUUGACAUGAAGCAUGCGCAGAGAUAUAUUUAAUAGGAAUAAACCCCUACAGAUCUCCGGCUUUGCUACUGCAGAUUGAAGGCCAACCAGUCCUACGUGAUGACGCCCAUUAUUAUACAGACAUAAGCAUCAAGCAUAAAAUGAAUUAAAACACUAAUAAGGGAAAUUACCUCCAAUAGAGUUACAAAUAAAGAAAGCAUUAUCUUUAACCACACUGCUACAAAAAUCAUUGAGAACCCCAAGUCUCAAAUAUAUAGAAUGAGUCCCCAACUUCACGAGGAUUCGGUUUGUCCGAGUAUCCGUAGCCAAUAAGAUCAAUUGCAUAUACCCUGUGUGAUUUUGCUAGAACAGUGAAAGAAACGCAGGUAAGCUUGAACACUUUAGAAGAAAACUGUUUACAAUUUUAAUUGUUUCUCUUUACUUAGUUCAACACCUAGUCAAAUGAAAAUAUUUAUAGGAAGCAAAUAACUUCCUUGCGUAACAAAUUAGCUAAACACCUUAACAGACCCUAACUACCUCUCUAACCAAUACUAUCUUUAACAUGCAUCCAUCUUCUCCACCGAAACAACCCGAAGAAAAUUCCUAAACCGAGUAAAACACGAAACAGACAGUGGUUUAGUUAAAACAUCUGCAACUUGAUCGUACGCAGGAACUUCCCCAACCAAAACAGAACCAUCUGCAACCUUUUCACGAACAAAAAAUAGAUCUAACUCCACAUGUUUGAAUUUGGAGUGUAACACAGGAUUGGCAGCAACAGCUACUGCACUGGAGCUAUCACACCAGAUAUUGGGCUGAGUAGGUAACCCGAUAUGUAACUCUUGAAGUAACGAAAGUAUCCACAAAACAUCACUGGUGACAGCAGCCAAACUUCGAUAUUUAGCUUCAGCUGUAGACCUAGAUACCACCUGCUGUUUCUUCGAAGACCAAGAUACGGGAUUAGAUCUAAAAAAUACACAAUAUCCUGAAGUAGACCGCCGAUCAUCAAAAUCCAACCCCCAGUUUGCAUCCGAAAAUCCAACUAGAGACAAAGAAUCAGACCUACGAAAAAUAAUUCCAAAAUCAAGAGUACCAGACAAAUAUCGCAAUAUCCUUUUAAGAGCAGCCAUAUGAACUGUGGUAGGAUUAUGCAUGAACUGACAAAUCCUGUUAACUGCGUAUGCAAUAUCAGGCCUAGUCAUGACAACAUACUGUAGCGCACCAGCCAAACUUCUGUACUCCGUUGGAUCAGACAAAGGAUCACCGUCACUCUUAGAAAUAUGCGACGAACUAAUCAUGGGCGUAUGAACACUUUUGGCAUUAGACAAACCACUACGCUUCAACAUAUCUUGAAUGUACUUCCUCUGACACAGAUGAAGACACCUAGAUGAGGACUGGGUAACCUCAAUUCCCAAAAAAUAAUGCAAAUCACCCAUGUCUUUCAACGAAAAUUCAUCAUUCAACAGCUUCACAAACCAGUCAAUAGAUGACGGCACAUCCCCAGUUAUGAUUAUGUCAUCAACGUACACAAGAACAUAGAUAGUGCAGUCAGACUGAACUCGAACAAAUAAAGAUGCAUCCGACUUUGAACCAGAAAACCCAACCGUCAGAAGAAAAGCUUUCAACUUUUCAAACCAAGCUCGUGGAGCCUGACGCAGACCAUACAAAGCCUUUUUUAACCGACAGACCAAGGGUCUCCCAUUAACGCCAAGCUUAACAUAACCAGGAGGUUGUUGCAUGAACACUUCACAAUCAACAUCCCCAUUCAAGAAGGCAUUGUUGACAUCAACCUGUCGGAGCAACCAUUCUUUAGUAACUGCAGCUGACAAUAUAACCCUUAUAGUGACGGGUUUUACAACUGGAGUAAACGUCUCUUGAAAAUCACAACCUGGGACUUGCGAGCAGCCUUUCGCAACCAGACGUGCUUUAUAUCGUUCUACUGUACCAUCUGGGUUUUUCUUGACUUUAAAUAACCAUUUACAACCAAUAACUUUGUGACCAGAUGGUAAAGGUACCAAUUCCCAAGUACCAUUACGAAUCAGGGCAUCAUACUCAGCUUGAGCAGCAGUUUGCCACUCUGGACUCGCAAAGGCCUCCUCAAUCGUUGACGGCUCUACAACUUCAACAGCAAGCACUCUAGGUUUAAAAAUACCCGCCUUUGACCUAGUGGUCAUGGGAUGAAUAUUCACUUCAGGUGCAACACUCUCUGGUCCUGUAGGCGCAGAUGGAAUCAGAACAACUGGUGUGGGAGACUGAUCACCAGACAAUGAUGGACUAUUAGGAGAGGAAAUACUGUGAGGGCUAGUAUUUGUUGGAUCAUCAUGUACUCCACUCUGAGGAACCAACACCCCAUUCGAAUAUGGACUACUAGGAGAGUUAAUAUUUGUUAGACCAUCAUGUACUCCACUUUGAAGAACCAACGCCCCAUUCGAAUUACUCGGGUACAGACACGCAGAACCAGUGCCGGAGUUCUGAUGACACGACAUAUUAGAUUUGAGCAUAGGCAAACAAGCAGAUAUAGUACUCACCUUCUUAGAAGGCAGUGAUAAAGACGUCGGAGAUAGAAAUCGUGAUUCAUCAAACUCAACAUGCCGAGAGACAAUGAUUUUACCAUCAGGCAGAAGACAUUGGUAUCCCUUGUGACAUGAGCUGUAUCCCAAAAACGUGUAUGGUUGUGACCGAAAUUCUAGCUUGUGACAAUGAAAUAGACACAAAAAUGGAUAGCAACAACACCCAAAAACACGUAAAUGAUCAUAAGUAGGAUCAUGUCCAUACAAGACCCUAUAUGGAGUCUUACCAUCCAGUACCGGUGUGGGAAGACGAUUUAUUAAAUGAACUGCACAUGUGAACGCAUAUGCCCAAAACUUCAUUGAAAGUCCCGCUUGAGCUAAAAGUGUGAGUCCCAUUUCCACAACGUGUCUAUGUUUCCGUUCCGCAACACCAUUUUGUUCAGAAGUGUGAGGGCACGUAACUCGAUAAAUAAUACCGUGAGAAGCUAGAACUGGAGCGAAGGCUCGAUACUCCCCACCCCAGUCACUCUGAAACUGUUUGAUGGACUUUCCAAAUUGAUUCUGAACUAGUUUCUGAAACUGAUUGAAGCAAUUCACAGCCUGAGACUUCUGCCGUAUUAAGUACACCCAAGUGAAACGAGAACACAUAUCGACAAACGAGACAUAAUACCAAUUGGUUCCAGAAGCAACUGAGGCAGGUCCCCAUACAUCCGAAACAACCAACGAAAAUGGAUCAGUAUAUUCAGUAGUAGAAACAGGAAAUGGCAACUUAUGAAAUUUUCCCUUUUUACAAGGAGUACAAACAUCACUUAUAGCAACUUUAUUCAUAGCAACUUUAUUUAACACGACAUGACAUUUAUCAAAAACAUCAUUAACAACAUUCAACGAUGGAUGACCAAGAAGUUUAUGCCAUAACAAACACAACUCACUGUCAGCAGUCCGAGUUGGAAUUUCAACUUGAGCAGUAGAUGGAUGAAACGUAACAGGAACAGACGCAUCUGAUAUGGAAAACUGAUAUAGCCCAUUAUGAAUACGGCCCAUCAGCAAAAUCUCCUGUGUCAUGCUAUCCUUAAUCACACAAUAAGUUGAAUGAAAUUCAAAGAACACACCAUUAUCAGUUGCAAACUGUGAUACUGACAAUAAAUUCUUCCUAAUAGCCGGAACACACAAAACAUUAGAUAAUCGAAGCACCCUAGAACGAGUAGAUAUAUCACCCUGACCGACAGAUGAUAUCAUAGCAGGUGUACCAUCACCCAUUAAAAGAGAGGACUUACCUGAAUAUGGAACGGCAUCACGGAUUGCCGAAUCAUCUUGACACACGUGAUUACUGGCACCCAAGUCAAGAUACCAUGAUGUUGUGCCAGCUUGUCCAGGAAUCGGGGAGUCAGAACCAUCCCCACUAACCCCACAUUGUGUAGAGUUAAUAUGCGAACCUGAGAUAGACGGAUCAGAAUAAUCAGAAGCAUGUAAAUCUCCUAACCUAGGAAGUCCAAAACACGGAUUCCACGCGGAGAAAACACGAGCUCGUGGUUUAGUCCGCCAUGGAACACCAAAACCAUCAACCGGUUUAGAUGAAUCAAGCUGCACAUUAUUCGAAAUAGGGUUAGCAUCCAAUAACGAAUCAUUUAGCCCAAUAUUACCAGUCGGACGAACCCCAUCACGCGGCCCAAAAUUUCCAGUAAUUGCACCAUGAGUUCCUCCACCAUUCGGGCCAAGAGUAUGUGGCCUAUACUCAUGAUUUUCAACAAUAGGCCUAAGCCAACCACCAUUCGGGCCAAGAGGUUGUGGCCUAUACUCAUGACUUUCAAUAUUUGGCCUGGGCCCACCACCCAUCGGUCCUGCAUAAGGCGCACUAAAAUUAUUAUAUCCAUCAGCACAAUAAUUUUGACCAAUUUCAAAACUAUUUUGACCAUAUCCAUAAUAAUUUUGACUAGAAGCCACAUUAUUCUGACUAGUGCCACCGCCAUGUUGACCAAAAUUUGAAACUCUAGGCCGUGUAUUCGGUGGUGAAGACCAGCCACGAUCCUCAGAAGCACAAAAAUUUUGCAUCGAAAACUGCAUCGGAGAAGCCUCGUCACGGUGGUACCGAUAGUAGCAACGCUGAGCCACGUGACCGAACCUGGAGCAGAUCUGACACUGGAGACGCGGCCUGAAGUUCCUACCACGGCCACGCACAGUCAAACGACCCCCACGCACCGAACCAUCCGAGGCCGAAAACGAUGAUUCUUCUACCAUAUUUGCACUGUACAAAACUUCCUGAUUCGGCGGAACAUGAUGAGUUUCACAUUCAAUUAGAGCGUCCACCAUACGCUGAAAUGGUAGGGGAGUCGGUGACAACGAAGCAGAGGACACCACGCCUUCAAAUUCGGAUGGAAGACCCGCAAGCAUGACCGCCGUCCGCUCUGCCACUGAUACAGAUGUUCCAGACGCUUCUAGAUGUGCAGACAGACUCUUUAGUUUGGCAACAUACUCUCGGAUCGACAAACUCCCUUUCUUGAAGGAGUGAAGUUCAUGACGCAGCCUGAUACGAGUCACAAAAGCCCAAAUUCUUGAAGGCGAGGCCCAAUAAGCAAAUUCCCAGCCCAAUCAAGAAAUCCAUCCAUACUUAGUUGAAAAUCAGGCCAAAUUGUCAAAGUGGCCCAAGUUGUAAAGUUUUAUUUUUAUUUUUAUUUAUUUAUUUACUUAGUUUAAAUUUUUAUGUCAAUAUUCAGUCCAAGAGUCCCAGAUAAAAUGACCUUUGACCGAAUUUCCAUAUUAAAAUAAUUAGGAGUUUUUUUUUAUUUUAGUUUUCUAAUUAGAUUAGGACUAGUUAUAAGGCAUAUUUAAAGGCAUGGCUGUCCACCUGGUUAAACACUUAUCAUUAUUAUUAAAAUUUCAGAUUUGUUGAGAGCAGAAUUUUCUUUGAGUUUUCUCCAAGAUUUCUCUCUUGAGUUUUCUUUAGAAGUUGUUUUAACAAUCUUGUGAUUGUGGGAGCCAUCUUCAACCUUCUUCUUGCCAUUGAUAUUCUUUGGAGGGGAGAUUAGAGCCGUUUGAAGGGAGUUGUGAGAUCUUUCGAGAUUUCAAGGCUUCUUAGGACUUAUCUUUUAAUUUCUUACUGUCAAUUCUUUCUUUAUUUCUACUUGUGCUGAAUCAUUAUCUAAUCUAUUUUCUGUUCUUAUUGUGUUUUCAGCCUUUUUCUAUCUUAAGGAAUCAGCCCAAAAAUCCCCAAUUUCUAGGGUUUUUCCAUACUCUUUUUGGGUGAAAUUAGAUUGUCGAAAUUUGGGGAAAACUAUCUUGGUGUUCAAUUGGGCAGAAUCACAAUCUCCUUGAGGGUUUCAAGAACCCUAACACUUAUUUCUAUUCUCAAUUUGAUUCUUUGCUGAUUUGGGGAUUUUAUUUCAGAUCUGAAAAUUUAAAAAUCUAAUCUUUUAAUUUUCUGUUUCGUUUCAGAUCUAAUUGUUUAGGGUUUUCGUAGGAGUUUCUCGUGACUUGGCAACUCGAUCUUGGUCCGCGCGCAACCCCGUAUCACAGCCUUUCUUGUCGUAGAUCCGUAUCGGCGGCGAACAUCGCCAACGCCGUAGUCCACACCUCGGAUGCCGAUUGCACAUCCAUAAAAGAGGAUAUAAUGGUCGAGCUUAUAGUAGAAAGAAGCCACGAAGUAAUAAGAUUUUCCUGUUGUGUAAACACAGAUGCCGCCGGAUUAAGUACAAGAGCACCGUCCGAUGCUUGUACAAAUCUCUGCGGCGCAGACACAGAUCCAUCCAGAAAACCAAACAAAUCAUAUCGAUUAACAAUAAAUCGAACCUGUUGCUUCCACUAAAGAAACGUCCCUUCAUCAAGCUUCACGACCUCAUGCCGAGGAAACGAGUUCACCACCCGAUCAGCAGUGAAGACUGAGCCAUUCAAUUCAACGGAGUCGGAGGCAGCAGAUUUUGUCGUGGCCAUUAUCAAGAUCUCUUAGCGACUGAUACCAUGAAAGAAACGCAGGUAAGCUUGAACACUUUAGAAGAAAACUGUUUACAAUUUUAAUUGUUUCUCUUUACUUAGUUCAACACCUAGUCAAAUGAAAAUAUUUAUAGGAAGCAAAUAACUUCCUUGCGUAACAAAUUAGCUAAACACCUUAGCAAACCCUAACUACCUCUCUAAACAAUACUAUCUUUAACAAACAGGAAUAUUUUUCCUCCAAUGAUUACUGUACUAAGCAAGACAUUAGAAGAACUGACAAUUAAGCAUGAACGCAUGGAACCAAGUUAUUUAAAGGAAACCUUUGAAACGAUUAAUAAUUGAUACACAUUUGAAACAUGCAUAUACAAACUGCACAUGCAGAAACCAAUCACUUGUUUGCUAAUGAGAAGAAAAAUUCAACUAUGCAGACCUGUUUGCUCCAAAACCAUGUACUAAAACCAAGGCAGGACUGCUCCUCCCAGAACACUGAUAGCGAGUAGAAGAGCCCUUCCAGUUCCAUGUACUACAGAAACAAUAGAUACAAUGCAACAACAUCAAAAAAUUAAAGAAAAUUAUAUUAAAUUUGUUUAAUUUGUUAUUUGAUUUUACAAAUUUUUUAUGAUAUUUAUUUUUUAUUUAAUUUGGUACACUUAUUUAAUAAAAAUUAUAUAUUUUAGUUUAGAUCUAUAUAAAUUUAAUUUUUUAAAUAUAUUGUUCAUGUUUUGUUUAGGGGCGAAGCCAGAACAAUUUUGCAUGGGGGCCAGAUGAAAUUUUAAUUUUUUAUAGUCUAUAUCUUUAAAAUUUUUAAAGGAUUAAAUUGAAUUUUUAUAAUUUUAGAGGGGCCAAAGUGUAAUUUUACCUUUACUAAUUUAAAAUUUUUAAAAAAAUUCAAAAACCUAAAUAGUAAAUUUACAUUUUAGGGGGACCGGGACGCUGCCAGCCCCUAGAUUCGCCCCUGAUUGUGUUAUAGAAAAAUAAUUAUCAAACAUAUUUUCAUCUUUUUAUUAUUAAAAACAAUUUUUUUUCUAUUUAUGAUACGCAUCUUCUAUUUUUUAAAAUAAGAAACUAAAAAUUAUUUUUUAAAUAAUAAAAUUUUAAAAAAUAAAAUAAAAUAUUAAUUUUCAAUUAAUUUAAUCUACUCAAUAGUUUAACAAACAAACCUUACUUAUUUUUAAAUAUUGUACUAAUUUUUUUUGCAUAUUAAAAAAACAAUAAUCGCUUUUAAUCAAUAAUUACUUUUCUUUGAAUGCAAGAAUUGAGAAAAACAAUUAAUUCAUAAAAUAGAAAAUAUAUAUUUGCAAAACUACAUUUGUAAUUUCAUUUAAAAAUGAAAAAUGAUUUUAUCUAUUUUCCUUUAAGAAAAUUAUUCCAUAUAUCGUCACUAAAGCAUAGCAAAUUGUUUGUUAAAAAUUAUAAUUUUUGAGAGAGGUUAAGUCUCGAACCUUCAACAAAAGGUAUUAUUCCACUAAAGGAAUUUGUCUCUUUUAAGGAAUACAUCGGUGGAUGUAAAUGUUGAAUACAAUGUAUUAUAUAUUAUAUAAAGUAUUUUUCAAAUAAAAUAUAUAUUAUUAAAGUUUUAUAAUAUUUAUAAAAUAUACAACAAUCAUGUAUGUACAUAUAAUUUAUGUUAUUAUUAUUUGAAUUAUUAAUUGGUGUUAUUUAGGUGAAUAGAAACUCUAAUCACCAUUUCUUAUUUAUUGUUGUUAUUAUAUAAAAUAUAUAAUUUUGAUUUUGAUAACAAUUUAAUAAAUACAUAAUAAAUAAUAGAAAAUAGAUACGGAUAUAAUUAAUAAAUUUCUAAUUGUGUUAAUGUGAUUAUUACUUAAAAUAUUUUAUUAGUUAAAACAUAAUUACUGAUUAUUUAUAAAUUUAUUUUAAUAUCUUUAAUGAUAAUUUUUAAUUUUUUUAAUUAUCAUCUCAUUGUCUCUCCAUUUAAACUCAAACACAUAUAACAUUAGGUUAAAUUAUAUUUAAGGUAACUGAACUUAGUAAAUUUAUAUUGUAGUUAUUGGAUUUAAAGGCGAAUUCAGGGAGCUGGCAGGGGCCUCGCCCCUCCCUAAAAUGAAAAAAAAUACCAUUUAGGCCAUUUGAAUUUUUUAAAAUUUUAAAUUAGGAAAUGUAAAAUUGCACUUUGGCCCUCCUAAAAAUGAUAAAAUAUUUAUUUAAUCUUUUAGAAUUUAUAAAAAUAUAGGCUAUUUAAAUGGUAAAAUUGUAUUUUUACUAUCGUAAAAAUUAUAAUUUAAUUUUGGCUCCCUAUUUUUUUUCCUUCGCCCAUGAUUGGAUUAUUCAAAAGUUUUUAUUUAAGUCAUUAGGUUAUUGAGUUUUUUCUUUUUUAAAGUUUGGCUAAUGAGUUUCAAGCGAUGAUUCGCGCAGUCAGUACCCAUCAACUAGUAGAAAAACAUACAUUAGUUUUCAGUCGAUUUAAUGCCUAGUGUUAGAGAUCGAAUAAGAAAACUGUUUGAAUUUUGGUUCAUAAGUUCAUGAUGUUUAAAAUUAUUUUUAUGAAAAUAAAAAGAACUAUGAAAAUAAAAUGAAUUAGAACUUUUGAUUGAUCUCGAUGAUGAGAGCAUAAAAGGUUAUACAACAAUAAUUUUAACCGUCUAAUGACUUAAAUAAAAACUUCUGAAUAGUUAAAUGAACAUUUUAUAAUUUUUUAAAAUUGAAUAACCAAAAUAUUUUAUAAUCUACCAAAGCUAAGUCUUAUCUCCCUGAAGUUGCAGUGGAGCAGAUUGAAGUUACAAAUCUCAUCUCCUUGAAGUUAUAGUGGAGCAGAUUGAAGCGACAAAUCUUGUACCUCUGAAGUUAUAGUAGGUCGGAUUAAAUCUACCAUAGCAGGUCUUAUCUCCCUGACGUUACGGUGGAGCAGACUAAAACCACAACUCUCAUCUCCCUGAAGUUGCAGCGGAAUAGGUUAAAACUACAAAUUUUUUUAUCUCUAAAGUUGCAGUGGAGUGGAUCGAAGCUGUACAGCCCAAUAUUUCCCCAGCCCAAAACCCAAUUAAACCCAAACCCGGAGCCCAAAUUGACCCAACAAAUACAAGUCCAAAUCAGAAAAAAAACUAGCCCAAUACCUAGAAACAAAAAAAAAUGAAAAAACCCUAGCUCCUAACCCUAGCCGCCGCACCUAGGGUCCUCUAACAAGUAGGCGUCGCACGUCCCAUCACCGCUCACCUGCCCUCUGCCAUCACCGCUGUAACAACCCAAUUUUGGGUCUAGUCGAAACAGUGGUUUUGAGACCACAAAUCCGACGAGAAAAAAUGUAAUGGCCUGAGUUUUCAGAGGUGUCGGAACGGUGAUUCGAGAUCACUAAAUUCGACAAAUUGGUAGAAAAUAUUAUUAAUUUAGUGAGUAUAAGUUAAAUGUGAAGUUAGAGAAAUUUUUGAAAUAGUGAAUAGUACACUAGAAAUAAAUAUUAAAAUAAUUAGAAUCGAAAAUGAGGUAUAGAGACCUCGGGGAUUUUAAACCGAGCCAUAAAUAUUUUUAUAAAUACUUAUGUAGUGUUAAAAAGUUAGUAUUAAAGUUUCGUUAAGAAAUUUUAAAGUUCUGAUAAUUAAUUGAACAAAAAGGACUAAAUUGUAACAAAUGCAAAAUUUUGGGAAAUGAUUAAAUAGCUUAAAUGAUAAAAGGAAGAGGGCUUAAAAGGAAAAUAUACCCAAGGUCUAUUUGGGCUGGACGACAAAGGCAUGAAAUCAGCAACAAAAUAAGGAGAAUUAAGCGCAAAAUUGGAAUAUUGCAAAAUUUACUUAAUAAAGUUAGGACCAAAGUGGAAUUAUCUAGAUUUCUCUUUAUUUUUCUGCAUUCUCAUCAGCAAAAACACCAUAGAAGGUUUCCUUAAGCUGUUUCUUCCUAUUUUUACUGCAGGUAAGUUCAAUUCUUGAUUAUUUCUUGAAAAUUUUGUGUUUUUGUGACUUUUAGAACUAGGCCCACUUAUUGUAUUCAUUAGUUUUUGAUUUUAUGAAAGAAGUUGAAAGUUGUUAUGAAUACAUGCUGGAAGUAUAUGAUGAUUUAGCAUGGAAUUAGAGCUUUAAAUUGUUCAUAUGCUGAUUUUAUUGAAAGAAUUAAAUAGAAAGUGAAUGUUUGGGACCUAAUAGAAAAAGAGUUUGAAGAUAGAGUUAUAUGUGGAAAUUCUGAAUUUCAAUAAUUGUGAUACAACUUAUAAUGUCUAGGUAAAUUAUUAAUUGGGAAAAUUAGAUUAAUUGAGGGGUUAAUUGAGAAAGGACCGAAUUGUAUAAACUGUGAAAUUUGGGGCAAAAUGGAAAUCAACAUUUUGCACUAAAGCAGUUUUGGACAGCAGCAGUAGUAUAACUUUGAAAAAUCACCAAAAAAUUUGGGAAUUUAAUUAGAGGGUGAAUAAAAUAUGAAAUUAAAUCUUAUUGAGUCUAGUUUCUCAUAGAAGAAACGGUGUAAGAAAUGAAAUUGUAAAUCAUGAGAUAUAAUAAAUUUUGUGAGACAAUGUCAGAAUGAUUUCGGGUUCCCCUGUUCUUACUUUGGAAAAUCAUAAAAAAUUGAAUAAAAAUAAUAAUGAGUUAUAAUUAUAUGCUUAGAAUACUUAAUGAAUCUAUUUUCAAAGGAAAUAAACAAAAACAUCAUCAGAAUUCUGUACAAUUAGCUAAUUCAUUUUUAGUGAAGGGUGGUCGGAGCUGUCAGACAGCAUAACAGGGGAAACUUUAAAGAAUAAACCGUACUAAUUGGCUGAACCAAAAAUUUUGAAAAUUUUAUGGUAAAAAGAUAUGUGAGUCUAGUUUCAGGAAAAAUUUAUGGAUAUUAAUUUGGAGCUCUUUAUCUCUGGAUAAAAAUAAUGUAGUGACUCUGACUCAGAAGGAUAACUUGGAUUUUACAUACAAUAAAAUUGUGAAAGUAUAAAUAAUAUUGUUUAAAUGUGUUAUACACAUUAAGGAUGAGGAAUGUAGAGGAGGUGGAGAAAAAUUGGGAAAUAUAUGAAUGAUUUGUGAAUAAUUGGUCAUAUACUUGAUUAUAAUUGAUAAACGAUGAAAUAGAAAUGCUUAUAUUUGUGCAUUAUUGACCAUGGUUUAAGCUCAUGUGUGAAAAUAAAGUUUCAUAGUAUGUGUGGAUGGUAUAUUCGGUAUAUGAUUUGGCAUGAAAUAAUGUCAUGAAUGGUUUAUGAAUUAACACAUGUUGCUAAGCCUGAUACAUGAAUAAAUGUUGUGCUCAUCCAUGCUUAUAAUGUUUAUGCUAUAAGUGUAUUUGGCUAACAUAUUUGGUAUACAUGCUUAGGCUUUGGCCAAGUAGUGACUAGACUAUGCCACGUUAAAUUUAUAAGUUAUGCAUUGAUAUGGUUUAUUAUGUGGUUAGACCCAAAAAGAGUUAUGUUUAAAUACAUUAGCUUGCGACUAUGGUUGAAUGAUAUGUUUAUAUCUUGUGUGAUGUGCAUAGAAAACGAGUGUGGAAAGAUAAUGAAAAGUAAGUUCAUAUGGCUGAACUUUUAUGAUUAAUUGUUAAUGUGGGAAUGAUAUAAUGUAUCAAUUCGUAUAUUGUUGUUGAAUUAUGAUUAUGGUAAAAAUAAGAAUAAAAUGAGAUUGUUAGUUCAAAUUAAGGGAUACGCAGGAUUGAGUACAUACGUUCGGUAACCUGUGAUGAUGAAUUGACAAAUAAGUCCAUGGUGGAUCCAUGGCAAAGUGUGAAACAUAGGUAUGGUAUUUCAGUGAAGAAAACCAUACUGAGUUGUGAAAAGUAGGUAUGGUAUUUCGGUAAAGAAAACCAUACUGAGUUGUGAAAAGUAGGUAUGGUAUUCCGGUAAAGAAAACCAUACUGAGUUGUGAAAAAUAGGUAUGGUAUUUCGGUAAAGAAAACCAUACUGAGUUGUGAAAAGUAUGUAUGGUAUUUUGGUAAGAAAACCAUACUGAGUUGUGAAAAGUAGGUAUGGUGUUUCGGUGAAGAAAACCAUACUGAGUUGUGAAAAGUAGGUAUGGUAUUUCCGUUAAGAAAACCAUACUGAGUUAUAGCAAUGUGAAAUAUUCAAGCAAAUCAUGGCACCAAGCAAACGAUAUACUCAAAUCCGUAAGACGAUCCUUAAUUUGACAAGUAUUUGUAGUACAAUUGAAGCUAAAUGUUGGAAUAUAAGUUGACAUCUAAUAUUGAGCUAGAUUGGAUAAAUUCAUUAUUUGAGAUUGUGGUUGGCCGGAAAUGUUACAUUAUAUAUAUUAUGAAGAAUUAUAAAAGCAUGUUAAUAAUUUUCAAAGUUUUAAUUUAGAUGAAAUUUUAUAACUCGGUUAAAUACGUCUUCAAGUGUAUGUGUUUUGGUAAUGCCUCGUACCCUAUUCCGAUGUUGGAUAUGGGUAAGGGGUGUUACAACCGCCACUGCUCCACCGCCUUCAAGUGGCCUGCAAGAAAUGACAAAAAUAAUACAAAAAUGUUGUAAAAAAAAGGCUAUAAAAGCCAUUGAAAAUCUGUAAUGGGAGGUUCUUUUCCCUUUUGAUGAACAAAAAAAUAAAAACAUAACACUUUCAAACAAGGAUUCAAGCAAAUCAGCAAAAAAAAAGAGAUAAAAAACAAGGGCAAUACGAAAGGUCCUUCUUUUUAUUAUUAUUAUUUUUUCUCUCUUUGUUUUCGGUUUUGGACUGUUUGUAUUAGAAAUUUCUUUUAUUUUUCUUUUAUUUUUAAACUAUAUAUAUAACAUAUAGAAGUAAAAAAAAUUACCUUUGAAUUUUCCACGGUGGCCGGUGCAACGGCGUCGACGGCGGUUCUCCUCACCGGAUCUGGGCAGUGCUGGAGAGGGGCAGAGGAAAUUUGAGAGCUUUUGUCUGUUUUAUUUUGAGAAAGAAGGAGAAAUGAAAAAUUUUGAAAAAAAUUUGGCUCAAAUAGGCUUCCAAAACGAUGUCGUUUUGGCCAGCCUUCUUAGGUACCAAAAUGGCGCCGUUUUAGGGCCGAUCCACGUGCGACCCGACUCGCUCCAGGGGGAUCUGCGUGUUUUCCAUGGAAGGGCUAAUUGCACUUUUAGCCCUUCCACUUUUUUAAUGUUUUCCAAUCAAGUACUUUUAGUUUUUUUAAAAUUUUUACCUCGGAUUGUUUUUGCAUUUUCAAUUUAGUCCCUACUGAACUCCGCAUUUUGCAAGAAUGGGAUUAUUUCCCAUUUGCCCCCUCCUAGUUUUUCGCGUGUACAUUUUGGUCUUUUUUCCCUCUUAUUUAUUUUGAAUUUGCCCCGAAAUUUUGUUUUUAGCUCAAUUUAAUCCCUUUUUUCAUAUCUUUGCUAUUUUAUCGUUAUUUUCAUUAUUAGUAGUAUUAUUAUUUAUAUUAUUAAUAUUAAUAUUAUUAUUAAUGUUAUCAUUACUAUACUAUUAUUACUAUUAUUGUUAUUAUUAUUAUUCACUUAUUUAUACUUUUUUUUAACUUCAAAUUUUGUUAUCUAUAUAUACACUUGUAUAUAUAUUUUUAUAAUAUACAUACUUUUUAUAAUACAUAUACACGUACAUAUUUCUAACUUUUGUAAAUAUAUAUACACAUAUUUUUAUAUAUAUAUUUAUUUAUUUAUUUUUAUUUUCAUAAUUUUUAUAUAUAUUUAUAUACAUAUAUACAUACGUGCGUUUUUAUAACAUAUAUAUACUUGCACAUUCUUUAUAUUUUAUAACUCAUAUGCAUGUCUAUAUAUCUAUGUACGUAUCCUAUUUUCAUAUACAUAAAUACAUACUUUUGUAUGCCUUCCAUAAUUUUUACAUACAUGCAUGUACAUAUACAUAUUUUAAUUUACAUACGUAUAUAUGUAUAUGCUUACAUAUAUAUAUUUUAUAUAAUAAUUUUAAAUAUGUACAUACAUAUAUUUUCUAUAUUUCCAUAAUUUUAUGUAUAUACACAUAUAAAUAUCUUUUAUAUUUUUUAUAGUUUUAUACAUUUUCUUUGUUUAUUUCUUAAUUUAAAUUCUCAUCAUUUGUUUUGAAUUUUAUUGCUUAUAUGUUUGCGAUUGUGUAGUAUAUUAGUUUGUCUUUGUAUUUAUUUUAUGUUAUUUUGUAGCCCUUGCUCGUAUUAUUUUGCUUACAUCAUCAUAAUUAUCAUUCCAUUACGUCAAUUUUUACCCAGAUUCAAAAAAAAAUUUUAAAAAUAUAAGUAAUACUCGAUAUUUGGGAUCUUCGAGAGAAUCGAGCCCUAACGUAUUGGGUUCCGAUUUUCUUCGUUGAAUCUAAAUAAUCAAGAUUACUCUUUUAAAAAAUGUAUAAUAAAAAACUCAUUAUCGGGAAUUCCAUACGUUGUGUCCUAACGCAUUGGAUAUGACAUGUUGUUUUCCCGAGAUGAGAAUUUUUUCUAAAAAAUAAUAAAGGCAGUAUUUUGCAUUUAGAUUUGAGAAAGUCAUGCCCUAACUUACUGGUUUUGAUUUUCACAAUAAAUCUAAAUACGUGAAUCUUUUCAAAGUCAAGUUUUAGACGAUCUCGGGAAUUAAAAAAGAUCGUGUCCUAACUUACUGGUCGUGAUCUCUUUUUUAAAUCCGAGAUAACUAAAUAUCUUUUUAAUAAGUACAUUUUUGGCAUUCAUUCGCGUAUCGGGAAUUCGAGACAUUGUGUCCUAACUUACUGGAUAUGAUGCAUUUUUCUCGAUUAACGUGAAAUAUGCUUCUUUUCCCAAAAAUGUUCAACAUUUUACUACAAGGAUCGUAUUUUUAAAAUUCUUCAAAGUUUUCAUUUUUGACAUUAAGACAUUAACUAAUCAACUAGGUACCAAUUUUUGGGCGUUACGAGUGUGCUAAUCCUUCCUCGUACGUAACCGACUCCCGAACCCAUUUUUCUGAAUUUCGUGGACCAAUAUCGUUGUUUUAAUAAAAUCAAAUUGUUUAUUAAAAACGACCACUUUUCAAGGUGAUCCGAUCACACCUUAUUAAAAAGGAUUGGUGGCGACUCCCGUUUUCGUUUUCAUUUUCAAAACUCAAGUUGACCCAUUUUAUCAAAAAAUGGUGUCAACAGAAGCAACAGGAUGCAGUGGACUAAAAUAAGGCUACUUGAAGAAAAUAAGCACCAAAAAGUCAAAAUUCGACAAGACCAGACAAAAUUGAUUUAACACCUCAAACCCAGCCUAAACAUUAAGGCCGAAUCUGGUGAUGUCACAUUGUAACACCUCUUACCCGUACUCAACGCUGGAAUAGGGUACGAGGCAUUACUAGAAUAAAUACACUUAUAGACAUAUUAAACCGAGUUAUAAAAUUUCAUUCAAAUUUAAACUCUUCAAAUUUUUAACAUGCUUUUAUAAAUAUUCACGUUAUAACUUCAAAAUACUAUAUUUGUAUCCUCAAAAUAUUAUAUUCAUAAUAAAUAGGGUCUGCUAGACCCGAUACUUCAUUUCCAUUUCAUUUAAUUCAAAUCAUAUCAUAAUUCACAUACAGUUCAAUUUCAUUAAGUUCAAUACUAAUACAUAUUUAUCGUUUAACUUAACGUACCUUUUUUGCGUCAUUUUACACUUCAAGCAUGAACUUAGUAUUUCGUUUCCUUUCCACUCCCGUUUCCUAUGCAUACCACACAAGAUAUAAACAUUACACUCAACCAUAGUCGCAAACUAGUCUUUUUGAAGACUAACCACAUGAUAAAUUAACCAUUUUAACAAAGAUUACAAACUUUAACAAAGAUUACAAACUUUAAACCUUACCACCCUUUUAUGAUCACAAGCAUAUUUCCAUCUAGACAUUUACCAUUUCAAUGCAUAAUUUUAUAAAUUUAAUGUGGCGUAAUCCAACCACAACUUGGCCAAAGCCUAAGCAUACACACCAAACAUGCUAGCCAAAUAAACAUAUAGUAUAAGCAUUAUAGGCAUCAUUUCUAUUUCAUCAUCUAUCAAUUAUAAUCGGGCAUAUGACCAAUUAUACUCAAAUCAUUCAUAUAUUUCCCAAUUUUCCUCCUCCUCUUCUCCAUCCCACAUCCUUUAUGUAUAUAACAUGCUUAAAUAGCAUUAUGCGUAAUUUUACUAUUCACUUAUAUUCAAAUUCAAAGCUGUCUAUUUGAGUCAGAGUCACUAAAUCAUUUUUAUCUAGAGCUACAGAGCUCCAAAUUAAGAUCCCUUAAUUUUUUCCGAAACUAGACUCAUAUAUCUUUUUACCAUAAAAUUUUCAGAAUUUUUGGCUUGGCCAAUUAGUACAGUUUAUUCUUUAAAAUCACCACUAUUUCACUUCUCAACAUCUCUGACCUCUCUUCACUAAAAAUGAAUUAUCUCAUUGUACAAAUUUUGGAUGGUUCUCUCGUUUAUUUCUCUUAAAAAUAGACUCAUUGAGGAAUUUAAGCAUGUAAACUAAAAACCAUAAUUAUUUUUUUAAAAUUUAUAGUUAUUUUUCCAAAGUUGAAAUAGGGGAUUUCGAAAUCAUUCUAAUACUGUCUUACUAAAAUUUAAAUAUCUCAUAAUUUAUAACUCUUUUCUUAAUCUAUUUCUUCCAUAUGAAAAUAGACUCAAUAACCUUGAAUUUCAUAUUUUAUUCAACAUUUAAUUCACUUUCCACUAUUUUUGGUGAUUUUCCAAAGUGAUACCAUUGCAUGCUAUCCAUACAAUUUUUAUUGCUAAUUUUAUUCAAUCAUGUUUUCUUUGCAUUAAUUCUCACUUACACUCUCAUAACACUAAAGUAUAUUCAUAAUAGCCAUGCCAAUAGCUAUUCAUCAUCAAUUAUUUACAAAUCUUCGUUGUUUUAACACUUGUUCCAUAUCAACUUCACUCAAGUUUGACCACAUAUCACGCACAUUGCCCACCACAUAUUCACAUUCAUUUCCACUUAAUCAUUUUCCGGUUGAACACUUAAGAAUAUUAUUGGAUACGUCAGAAAUUUGCACAUAAGUGCCACACUUGUAGCAAAAGCAACUUCACAUCAUUUUUCACUUUAGCUCGUUCUCGAGCUAUUCACUUUCUCAGGUCUGCUCACACAAGCUGUCAGUCUUUUGUUACUACUCAGUGCUGCACUAUUGCUUACAUAAGCUGUCAGGUAUCUGCAACAUAUGCCGGUAUACCCAGCCACUGGUAGAACUUAAGACCAACACCCGAGUUCACAUUAAUCACAGUUUCGCAUCACGACCUACUCACACAAGCUGUCAGUCAUUCGUUACUACUCAGUGCUGCUCACACAAGCUAUCAGGUAUCCGCAACAUAUGCCGGUAUACCCAGCCACUGGUAGAACUUAUGACCAACGCCCAGAUCCACUUUAUUCACAAUUCCACAUAGAUCUCUAAUGACAUGCCACUUGUAUCCCAUUAUAUUCCUAAGGUUCAACCGAGAAAAUUUCCCACACUUCAUUAUUUUGUAAAUUUUUAUUCGAUAUUCAAUCACAUAUAUCAUAAAAUAUAUCUUUCAUCCACAUAUCAUAAAAUAUGUCAGAACAUAAAAUCAUAAAUAAAAAUUGAUGCAUUAUUUACAUAAAAAACUUACUUUUGUGCAACAAUAUAGAAAUUUAGAAAUUUAGUCUUUAAUCUUUUCUUUUCUCUAAUCAAGGUCGAUUCCACUUCUUUCUUGAUCUAUAAUAACAUAUUUAGUUUAUAUAACAUUCACAUUAUUCAAUCCAUUCCAAAAAUCACAUUUUGGAAAAAUUACAUUUUUACCCUAAAGUUUAACAAAAUUACGAUUUUGCUCCUAGGCUCAGAAAUUAAACUUUAUUCCUUUUUCUUAUGUUUUAUAACAUGCUGAACAUUUUUAUCUUCUAUAGCAACAUCAAAUUCUUGCUAUAACAUGCACUUAUGAACAAUAAUAAUUUUUACCGAUUAUGUCGUUUCACUUGUUUUCACUGAAAAUCGCUUAGUAAAAAUUGUUUAACACAAUUUCAAGCUUCAUAUUCUACCAUAAAACAUCAAAAUAAACACAUUUCACCUAUGGGUAUUUUUCCAAAUAUAAACCCUAGGUUAAAUUAUUGCUAGAAUAAGCUAAAUUAAGCUACCGGGACUUCAAAAACGUAAAGAACAUUAAAAACAGGGUUUAGAAUCACUUACUAUGGAGCUUGGAAGCUUGAAAACCCUAACCAUGGCUUUCCCCUUGCUAUUUUCGUUCAUCAUGGAGAACAUGGACAAAUUUUUGGCUAUUUUGGUCUUUUAAAUUCUUUUAAUUACUAAUUGACCAAAAUGCCCCAACUUAAAAAUAUCCUAUUUCACUUAUCUCUUGUCUAUUUUUGUCCAACAAGUUAACCAAUGGUCUAAUUACCAUUUGAGGACCUCCAAUUUAAAAUUUCAUAACAAUUGGAUACUUCUAACAAGUAGAACUCAACUUUUGCACUUUUUACAAUUUAGUCCUUUUGGCUAAAUUGAGUGCCCAAAUGUCGAAAUUUUUGAACAAAUCUUUUUAAAAAACCAUUCCGUGAAAUUGUAGACCAUAAAAAUAUAAUAAAAAUAAAAUUUUUCUCGUCGAAUUUGUGGUCCCGAAACCACUGUUCCGACUAGGCCUAAAAUCAAGCUAUUACAAUUGGUCCUUUUAAGGUAUUUUCUCUGUUUUCGUUACAAUACAACAAGUAAAGAAGGGAAUCUGUAAUAGGUCAAUUUUGGCCUGGGCCCAGAUCAAAAAUAAAAAAAAAACAAACCCAAAUAAAUAAAAGUCCAAAAAGAUUAAUAAUCCAUUACAAUGAAUAAAAGCCUACCACCCAAUUACCAGCCCAAAACAAAAAGCAAGCCCAAUCAAACUAGUCCACUACUCAAUCAAAUAACCAAAACUAAAACCUAAUAGCCCAAAAUUAACCUAGCCCAAUUAGCCCAACAUCUAAACAAAACAAAAACCCUAGCCUCCUAAGGCUCCAACUCUGCAUGUCAGAACCACCUACGCUACACACCAUCGCCGCUCGAGGCUCGCCUGUACGUUUUGAAUCCCACCGCCGCGAGUAGAGGAGGUCAUUGUUCCCAAUGAUGGACGGUUAUCUUUGGUAAAACGGAAGAAAAACCGAAGGGAUUCUUUUGGGUCAAGUUUUUACAAAAAAAAAGCCCUAGAUCUGGGCUUUACGCGUCAGAGCGCUCAAAACGGGAGUUUUUGGUGAACUACGGCCACCGUGGAUGGUGACCGCCAUCGUCGGCUGAUCGCCACGGCGGUGUUUGAUGAUCGGACCUAGUGGCUUUGAAAGAAAGGGGAAAGAGCUUUUAGAGUUUUUUUUAAACAAGGUUAAAAUGAAAGUUUUUGAAAAAAUUUUGAUUUAAAUAGCAGUUGUGAAACGACGCCAUUUCACUUAGGCCCUUUAAUGCCAAAACGAUGUCGCUUUCGGGGGCCGACCCGAGACCCGACCCGCGCGGCUAGGAUCCGUGUGUUUUCUAGCCCCUGGGAUUAUUUUCGCGGUCGAUCCUUCUGCUUUUUUUGCUCAUUGUCAAUUUAAUCCUUUUUUAUUUUUAAUUUUACCUUGUGAUUUUUGCAUUGUUUCAUUUUAGUCCAUAUUAGAACUGUGCGUUUUGAAAGACAGGGAAUAUUUUCCCUUUUGGUCCCUCCCUUUUAUUUGCUCAUUACGAUUAGGUCCUUCACCUCAUUUCAAUUCUCGAUUCCUCCCCUAAAAUUUUGUUUGGCUUUCAAUUUCAAUCCUUAUUUUCUUUUGUUUUAUUUUUUAAAUACUUUUGCAUUUUUAUAUUUUAUAUUUUUAUUAUUUAAAUUUCUACUUUUAAGUUCAAUUUAAUCUUGAUUUAAUCAUUAAUCUAUUUUAUUUCCACCUUUCCACAAACUUUUUAUUUUAUUUUAUUUUAUUUAUUUAUCAUUUCUUCUUCCUUUUACAUUAAAAAAAUAGAUUAUUAGUACUCUAUUUUUAAUGGUGCGUUUUUAUUAUUGUUGUUAUUAUUUCAAAUAUCUUAAUGUUAUGUUUAUUUAUCUUUUUUAAAUUGUGCAUUUUCCAUUUCCAUUUUUUAUUUUAAGUUACUUUAUUUAUCUUAUUAUUGCGAUCUGGUUAUUAAUAUUAUUACUAAUAAUCAAUUCAUGUCACAUUAAUUUUUACUCGAAACAGAAAAAGGAAAUUUUCAAAAUUAAGGCAAUGUUCCGUAUUUGGAAAUCUGAGAAGUCGUGCCCUAACUUACGGGAUUCGACUUUCUAUUUGAACCAAGACAACCUAAUAUUUUUUUAAAGCAUAUAGGAUUUUAAUUAAAAAAUAUAUUUUUAGGAAUUAAGAAAAGUCGUAUUCCUAACUUACAGAAUAUGGCUUCUUUCUAAAACCGAGAUAAUUAAAUAUUUUAAAAAAAUAUUUUUUUCCAUGUUUAUUCUCGUUUUGAGAAUUUAAGGCAUUGUCUCCUAACAUACGUGAUGUGAUUAUUUUUCUCGAUUAACUCAAAAUAAAUCCAUUUUCGUGUUAAAUAAUAAAAGAUCAUAUCUUAAAUCUCUUCAAAUUUUAAAUUUUCGACACUAAAGACGCCAAGUAAUCAACUAGGUACCAAUUUUGGGUUUAUCAGUGGUGCUAAUCCUUCCCCAUGCGUAACCGACUCCAGAACUAGUCUUCUGGAUUUUUUAGACCAAAAAUCAUCAUUUUAAUAAAUUUAAACUUGUAUUAAAAUGAUUAAAUUAUGAGGUGAUCCGGUCACACCUAAAUAAAAAAGAUUGGUGGCGACUCCCAUUUUCAUUUUUAAAAUAUAAAGUCGACCUUUCAAAAAAAGGGGUUUCGACAGUAAAUAUCUUCUUCUUUUUUUCACAUGGAUAACAAGCGAGUUUCUUUCUUUAUUUCUUUCUUUUUUAAUUUCAAAAUGUCAAUUAGUAAAUUUAAUAGAAGAAUUCUUACUGUAAUAAUUAGACCCGAUUUUUUAAAUUUAGAAAGUAAAGAAAUUGUACGGGCCCAAUUUUACCCGGGCCUUAAACACCAAACAAACAGCCCACAUAAACAAAAAUUAAUAAACAGUCCAUGACCCAAAACCCAAAUUACACCCGGGGCCCAUUACAAGCAAACCCAAAUAAAACCCAAACCCGAAUGGCCCAAUACCCUUCAGCCCAAACCAAUACCCAAGCCCGAAAACCAAAGUCAACUUAGGGUUUCAGUGUCUGAAACCCUAAGCGCCGCCUGCUUCAGACCUUUGGUCUUCUGCCGCCACCACCGCGCGUCUGUCACCGCCACUGUCGUCCGUCAAUCAUCUACAGGAAAUAUACACGCAAACAACAAAUAACACAGCAAAAAUAGCAUAAAAAUAUAAAGGAAAUCGGCUAUAAAAGGCCGGAUUUCCCCCCUGUAUUUCUUCUUCUUUUUUCACGAGAUCAAUACAAAAAAGCAGAUUAAAGAAAUAGAAAGGUUGAUCCCAAAGUUUUUCUUUCUUGUUCUGUUAUUGUGCAUUUCCUUUCACUGUUAUUAGUAUUUUUUUUACUUAUUUUCUUUAUUCUUUUAAACUAAAAGAAAGUGAAAAGAAAAAGGGGGAGAGGGUACCUACCUGUCUCGAAAGCCCGUCGCCAAAGACCCUAUUCGGUGUUGGAAUCGGACGAAAAGGGGUGCGAAGGACCCCUCCUUUUUCAUCUUUUUUAGACCAACAGGGCCUGGUUUUCGUGUGUGCUGUGAAUCGGGGCUGAAAAGCUUUUUUUUUUGCGCAACGCCAGCCACCGCUCACGGUGGCGCUACGGCGGUGGCGCUACAGCCGAUUGCCAUGGCCGGUUAGAGGCCUGAGAGAGAGAGCUUGGCUCUCUGUUUUUUUUAAGAAGGAUGAAACUAAAAUUUUUUUGGUUUUUUUAUAUAUAUUUAUACUGAGCUCGAAACAGCGCUGUUUAAGCCCCUGUGACCCGCGUGCGAUCCUACCCGCUCCAGGGGGGAUCCGCGUGUUUUCAUGAAAUGGGCUAUUUGUGCCUUUGGUCCCCCCAUCAUUAAUUUGUUUUGUUUUAAUUCUUCUGCUUGUUUGUUUUUUAAUUUGACCUCGUGUUUUUACACCUAUUUCAUUUCAGUCCUGCAUGAAACGGUGCGCUCUAAUGGACUGGGGAUAAUUUCCCAUAUAGUCCUCGCGUUUCUGCAGCGCGUUACAAUUUGCCUCUCUUUUAGUUUUUUUUCUUUUAUUUCAAUUUGACCGUUUAACUUUUUUUUGUUCCAUUUUAGUCCUGUGAAGUGCUGCGUUUUGGGAGAUGGGGAUAUUUUCCCCUUUAGUCCUUCCUUGUUAUUCGCACACUCAAUUCGGUCCUUUCCUUUUAAAUUAUUUACAUAUCUGCCCCCCGAAUUCCUGUUUCAAAACCAAAUUAGUCUUUUUUUUAUCUAUUCACCCAUUUUAUUAUAAUUUAGACUUCAAAAUUUAUUUUAACUUCAAUUUGACCCUCUGUUCGUUUAAUUCCAAGUUAUUUUGUUUAUUUAUUCUUUUUGUUUUGUUUUAUUUAGUUAUUUAUUUAUUCUUGCAUUUAUUUAUUUCUUCAUUUCCCUUGUAUGAUUAGUUUAUCAUAUUGUUUAUUCCUCUACUUACACUAUAUUAUUAUUGUUGUUUAUUGCUAUCAUUCUUAUUAAUGAUUAAUUCAUUUUUAUAUUUCUAUUAUUAGAAUAAACAACUAAUACGGUUAUUGUUAUUAUUGGAUGAUUAUUGUUAUAAUUAUGUCAAUAUUAUUUUAUGCUUUAUGAUUUAUUAUUUAUUUUUUUUAUAUCUACUAAUAAAGUUAUUUCAUGUUACAUUAUUAUUGUACUUUGUAUUGUAUAAAAUAAAUGUUAGUCUUUAUACUAUACUUGCAUAAAUUAAACUUACAUCUCAUCAAAUAUUAUGUUAAUUCAUACUCAAAAAGAAAAAUUUUCAAAAUAAAGCAACAUGUUGUAUUUAGAAAUUCAAGAAAGUCGUACCCUAACUUACGGGGUUUCAAUUUUCUCGAAAACUCGAAUACACGAAUCGUUUCAAUCAAAACUUUUAAAUAUUAUCGAGAAUUUAUAAAAGAUCGUGUUCUAACUUACGGGACAUGAUCUCUUUUAAUAAAACCCGAAAUAAUUGAGCUUUUCCAAAAAUAAUUUUUUUGGGCAUUUAUUCUCACAUCUGGAAUUUUUGAUAUUGUGUCCUAACUUACGGAACGUGAUUUCUUUUUCUCGAAUGACGUGAAAAUAUGCCUUUCUCUCUAACUUAUACAAGUUUUUAUACAAGGAUUGUAUCUUUAAAAAUUUUUCAAAUUUUUCAUUUUCGACAUUAGGACAUUAAAACAUUUUAAUCUGCAACACAUGUAAAUGAAUAUUAUUGGGUUUUAAAUUAUUAUUUUUUUAAGAAAAAUCGAAUCGAAUCGAAAUUGGGAAAAGAAAUUGGUGUUCUUUACAUAUCCUUAACUUCAUGGGUGAUUAGGGAGGUGGCCCGAUUGAUAGAGAUUAGGUCGAUUUUGGAUGGUUUAGAGCCGGACCAUUAUGCAUUAUUAAAUUCUCAAAGCCCCACAUUCAAAUUUGUUGAGCUAAUAUGACAUAAAAUAAAUGAUGGAGCACAAAAAAAUUUAUAAUAAGAAAAUUCAUUUAUAUAAAUUAGAAAGUUUGUGGAAAUCACAAAUUUAAAGCGAAAAGAUUAAAAUAUCUUCAAAUAAUAUUAUUUACUUUAAUUAUGGAAUGAUAUUUUCGUAAUAUUUUAACCGAAUUGAUACCCAGUUAAUUCAUGACACUAAAUUAAUUAAAAAUUUAUAUAUAUAUACAAAUACGAUCAAAACACUUCAAUUUAUUAAAUUCAUCUCUAUUUUAUAAAAAAGUUUAAAAAAUUAAUCCAUUUAUUGAUAAAUACAGGAAUUCGAUUUUUGUGUAUUUAAAUAAAUUAACUAUUUUUGUCCGUAAAAAACUCAAUUUUUAGAUCUUUUAAUUCUAAUUUUUCAGAACCCAUAUUUUACUCUAAUUUAAACCUUUUAGGAAUAUAUUUAAAAAAAAUUCCUUUUUGAGGAAAGAUGGAGUGAAAAGGAUAGAUUAUUCAACUUUGCUUAUAUUUGGAAUUAUAUAUGAAAUUAAUUGGGGAAAGCUCAAAAAAUAAAAAUUAAAAAAGGCAAUUCGUUAAAUUUAUUAAAUAAAUCACUUUUAUGAUUAAAAAGACUAGUUUCAUUCAUAUAUGUCCACAUAUCACACAGUAGUGUUGAGAGUCGUUUGGAAAAAAUCCAAAAAUUAGAGAAAAAAAAAUAAAGGGUUCUCCUAUAUGUUUUUGGUAGAGUUUGGAGACAUGAGCAGGUAUCUUAAUAGAAUUUAAUCAUAUAUAAAUAUAUAUAUAUAUAUAUAUAUAUAUAUUUGAGUGAGUCUCAUAAUAGAGGAAACAAUUAGACAUACAUGUAGGGGUAACGCUAGGGGUUGCAACCCCCUUCAACGAGGAAUUUUCUCUUUAAAUAUUUUAGAAUAUGUAAAUGUUAAAUUAAUAUAUUAACUAUACUAUUAGUCAUCAAACUAUACGAGUAAUUUAAUUUUCGUCAAGUAAUUAAUGGUAGACUAAUUGCCUAUACUAACUGUAACAACCUAUUUUUUAGUGGUGUUGAAAAUAAUGACUUCAGGGCUAUAAAUUUGACAAGUAUAUUCGUAAAUAUUAUUAUAUAAUAUUAAAAUCCACAUAUCACAAAACAAAUAAAAAAACAAAAAAAACUCGGAUAAACAAAAUUAAAAUCCACCCUUCGUAGAUUUUUAUGUGUUUAGUCCUUUCAUGAGAAAUAGGAUUUGGUGCUAUCUGUAAAGCCAUCUGGUUGUCAAAAUGCAGUCGCACAGUUUUCUUCAUUUUAACUCCUAUUUUCUUGAUUAAUCCUAUUAUCCAUACUACUUCUGCUAUUGUUAUUUCCAUCUAGAAAGAAACAAGAGCAUCUCCUAUUUUAAAGCAAAAACCUGAAGUUGACCUUCUUGUCAUAGGACAUGCAGCCCAACCUGAAUCACUGUAAGUUUCUAAUUGCAGGAUGCCUUUUGCAAACAACAAUAUCGCUUGUCAUAAAUCCUUUUUAAUAUACUCGACUAUGCUAAGUACAUCUUCAUAGUGGAACUUCUUUGGCUGCUGCAUAAACUAACUAAGAUAUUGAACCGAAUAGUUUAUGUUUGGUCUAGUAAUAGUUAAAUAAAGUAACUUUUAAUGAGUCUUUUAUAUGCAGCUGUAUCUUGAUUUAAUGGUUAAAUUAAUAAUUUUAGUAAUAAAAGGAUCUGAUUGGUAUAACAUCGAUAAUUAAAUAAUAUAAUUAAAAUAUUUUGAAGAUAAUUAGUACAAUUAACUAAAACAAAUAAUUUAAUACAGAAAUUAAACAAUAUAAUAAAAAAUUCGAGAUUCAUAAAUCAUAACAAAUUUGGAAGAAACAGAUUUGGUGGAUUCAUAAAUAUCAUUAUUGAUUUUUUUAUUUUUAAAAUGUAUUAUUUAUACAAUAUUAAAGAAGGGUUAAAGAAUAAUAAAAUUUGAAAUAUAUAGUUUUGAUUUUGAUAAUAAUCAAAUAAAUACAUCAUAAAACUUAAGUAAAUAAUUAUUAGACUACCAUAAAUAAUUAUCAGGCAUGUCAAAAUUUAGUACUUUAGUAAAUAAUAUUUAGAUUAUUUAAAAAUAAAUAUAUUUAUUAAAGAAAUUAAGGUUUAAAUUUUAAUUUUGUGGAUUUUUAUUGAGUUUAGAUAAAAAGAUAAAAACAUAUUUAAAAUAAUGUAAAUAUAAUAUAUUUUAUGAUUUUAAAAGAUAUGAUUAUGAUAUCACACAAUUUCUAUUUUUUUCUUUGUCUUUUUUUAGCAAUAAAUUGGUGACACCGGUGUUAUUUUAUUACGGUCUCAGUCUACUAGUGUCGAAGAAACAAAGCUUAUUAUCAGAGAGAAGCAGCGUUGCCGGAAAAUGGCUUGCCUCAAUGCCCGACGAUCUCUAUCCACCCUUUUAAGCCGCGCCCUCACUGCUUCUUCUUCUUCUUCCUUUCCUUCCCGUUCUCGCCUCACUGUUGCACUCCUCAACAAAACCCCAGUUUUUAUCCCCGAAGCAACCAAAAUCCUGACCCGAACCAAGACAUCCGGGUCCGGCUACUCGCCUUUGAACGACCCAUCUCCUAACAGUAGUAGCCCACGACCAUCGGUUCUCCUAGAUGACAGUUCUUAUGAGCAUUGGCUUAUCAUUUUGGAAUUCCCAGAAUGCCCGAAACCUUUGGAAGAAGAAAUGAUCGAUGCCUAUGUUAAAACCCUCGCUUCUGUUGUCGGCAGGUUUUUAAAUUAUAAUUAUUCCUUCAAAUUUCAUUAAAUCUGGGUUUUAUUUUCUUUUUUGUUUGUCUGAUCUUGUAGUGAAGAGGAAGCGAAAAAGAGAAUAUACUCUGUUUGUACAACGAGGUAUACUGGGUUUCGUGCUUUUUUCUCUGAGCAUUUGGUCGAAAAACUUGGAGGUAAUAUCAUUUCCCAUUUACUAGGGUUUAGGGUUUACAUGGUUUUCCCUUUUUCUAGUGUAAUUGGAACAAGAAACGGGUUUCUUGAAACAGUGGGUUUUCAGAAAGAAGAAAGAAUUAACAUUGGUUUUCAUUGUGUGUGAUGUGUUGCUAGCUGUUUUAGGGUUUUAAACCUCCCGAUGUGAUUGCUUUCUAUACUAAUUUAUUAGGGUUUAAAUGGUUUUCCCCAAUUGCUUUUGUGAGUGUUUUUGAACUUACAAUUGAUGAGGCAUCCACUUUGUUCUAAAAUCAAUUGGCAUUAUGUUUCUACAGUGUUACCUCGUGUACGCUGGGUUUUACCAGUUCGGUAUUGUAGCCGAGAUCAUUAUUAUGCAGGUGGGUAGUUUAAAGAUGAAGUUUGCUGCUUACAGCCAUUGAAGUUCUCAUUGUCAACAAAUUUAAUCUUUUUUUUAUUGGUGGAUUGAUUGCCAGGGGAUCUGUUUGUUGAUGGGAAAGUCUUUCAUAGACCGCAAUUUCCAUGGGUUGGUGUUCCAAAUAGCAGCCACAGAGUUGGAGGAUGUGGUGAUCAUGAGCUUUGGCUUAUCACUUUCGAAUUCCGGGAAGAACCUUCCUUAGAAGAAAAGAUUGAUUUCUAUGUCAAAACCCUCGCUUCUGUUGUCGGCAGGUUUUUGAUUCUUUCAAAUUUGCGUUUUCUUUCCUGGAAUUUGAGAAAUGGGUUUUAUUUUUCUUUUUUGUUUGUAGUGAAGAGGAAGCGAAAAGGAGAAUAUACGCCGUUGGUGGUAGACUAACGGUGUAUACUGGGUUUCGUGCUGUUAUGUCUGAGGAGAUGGCUUAUGAACUUGAAGGUAAUUGCAUUUCUCAUUUAUUAGGGUUUACAUGUGUUCUCAUUUAUUAGGGUUCAGUGUUUGGAAUUGGCGUUAUGUUUGUAUAGGGUUUCCUCUUGUAAAAGGCAUUUAUCGGGAUUCACAGGACGAAUAUGAUGAAGAUUUUGAUGGAGGUGGGUAGUUUAAAGAAUUCAAGAUGAUGUUUGUUGCUUACUGCCAUUGUCAACAAAUUUAAUCUCCUUUUUCUUAUUAGGGCAUUUGCUUGUUGAUGGGAAAGUCGUUCUUAGACCAACCUCUUUUAGCAAGAAGAGGUGCCUGACGCGAUCAGUUCGUUUGGUGGUGAACCAAGUAUUAAACGAUAUUUAUAUUCGUAAAAUGGAUGAAACCGAAACCGAGGGCUAGGACCAGAUCUUUUCUGAUUUGGUGGAUUCAUAGAUCUCUUUAUUUUUUUUUAAUUUAUGUGUUCAAUAUUAGAAGAGUCAUAAUUAUUUGAAUUAUUAAUUCGUGUAAUCUCCAUUCCUAAUGAAUACUUGUUGUUAUUAUUUAAAAUAUAUACGUUUGGUUAUUUAUAAAUCUAUUCUAAUAUCUUUAAUCAUCAUCUCAUUGUAGUCUAAAUUAUUGGUAAUUUAUGUUUUAAUUUCUGAAUUAUUCCCGCCAACAUUGGGGAGGACGACAAAGUCUUCUACAGUAUCAAAAUCCCAUGGAUCCUUAUCACCCCAUACUUUUUAAUUUUUUUUUUCCAAAUGAAUGAUAGUAUAAAUAUAUUAUUGGAAGGAUAUUUAAAGCGAAAAGAUUAAAAUAUCUUCAAAUAAUAUUAUUUACUUUAAUUAUGGAAGGAUAUUUUCGUAAUAUUUUAACCGAAUUGAUAUUCAGUUAAUUCAUGACACUAAAUUAAUUAAAAAUUUAAAUAUAUAUAUACAGCACAUCUGAAUGAAUAUUAUUGGGUUAUGAAAUAACUAAUAUUUAAUUGUCAAAUAUUUAUUAAAUUCAUCUCUAUUUUAUGAAAACUUUAAAAAAUUAAUCCAUUUAUUGAUAAAUACACGGAUUCGAUUUUUGUGUAUUUAAAUAAAUUAACUAUUUUUGUCCGUAAAAAACUCAAUUUUUAGAUCUUUUAAUUCUAAUUUUUUCAGAACCCAUAUUUUACUCUAAUUUAAACCUUUUAGGAAUACAUUUAAAAAAAAUCAUUUUUGAGGAUAGAUUAUUCAACUUUGCUUAUAUUUGGAAUUAUAUAUGAAAUUAAUUGGGGAAAGCUCAAAAAAUAAAAGUUAAAAAAGGCAAUUCGUUAAAUUUAUUAAAUAAAUCACUUUUAUGAUUAAAAAGACUUGUUUAAUUCAUAUAUGUCCACAUAUCACACAGUAGUGUUGAAAGUCGUUUGGAAAUUAUUUAUUGUUGUUAUUAUAUACAAAAUAUAUAAUUUUGAUUUUGAUAAUAAUUAUUGAUUAUUAAUAAAUUUAUUUUAAUAUCUUUAAUGAUAAUUUUUAAUCAUCAUCUUUGGCUGCUGCAUAAACUAACUAAGAUAUUGAACCGAAUAGUUUAUGUCUGGCCUAGUAAUAGUUAAAUAAAGUAACUUUCAAUGGCUCUUUUAUAUGCAGCUGUAUCUUGAUUUAAUGGUUAAAUUAAUAAUUUUAGUAAUAAAAGGAUCUAAUUGGUAUAACAUCGAUAAUUAAAUAAUAUAAUUAAAAUAUUUUGAAGAUAAUUAGUACAAUUAACUAAAACAAAUAAUUUAAUACAGAAAUUAAACAAUAUAAUAAAAAAUUCGAGAUUCAUAAAUCAUAACCAAUUUGGAAGAAACAGAUUUGGUGGAUUCAUAAAUAUCAUUAUUGAUUUUUUAAUUUUUAAAAUAUAUUAUUUAUACAAUAUUAAAGAAGGGUUGAAGAAUAAUAAAAUUUAAAUUCGUGUUAUUAUAUGAAAUAUAUAAUUUUGAUUUUGAUAAUAAUUAAAUAAAUACAUCAUAAACCUUAAGUAAAUAAUUAUUAGACUACUAUAAAUAAUUAUCAGGCAUGUCAAAAUUUAGUAUUUUAGUAAAUAAUAAUUAGAUUAUUUAAAAAAUAAAUAUAUUUAUUAAAGAAAUUAAGGUUUAAAUUUUAAUUUUGUGGAUUUUUAUUGAGUUUAGAUAAAAAGAUAAAAACAUAUUUAAAAUAAUGUAAAUAUAAUUUAUUUUGUGAUUUUAAAAGAUAUGAUUAUCAUAUCACACAAUUUCUAUUUUUUUCUUUUUCUUUUUUUACCAAUAAAUCGGUGACACCGGUGUUAUUUUAUUACGGUCUCAGUCUACUAGUGUCGAAGAAACAAAGCUUAUUAUCAGAGAGAAGCAGCGUUGCCGGAAAAUGGCUUGCCUUAAUGCCCGACGAUCUCUAUCCACCCUUUUAAGCCGCGCCCUCACUGCUUCUUCUUCUUCUUCCUUUCCUUCCCGUUCUCGCCUCACUGUUGCACUCCUCAACAAAACCCCAGUUUUUAUCCCCGAAGCAACCAAAAUCCUGACCCGAACCAAGACAUCCGGGUCCGGCUACUCGCCUUUGAACGACCCAUCUCCUAACAGUAGUAGCCCACGACCAUCGGUUCUCCUAGAUGACAGUUCUUAUGAGCAUUGGCUUAUCAUUUUGGAAUUCCCAGAACACCCGAAACCUUUGGAAGAAGAAAUGAUCGAUGCCUAUGUUAAAACCCUCGCUUCUGUUGUCGGCAGGUUUUUAAAUAAUAAUUAUUCCUUCAAAUUUCAUUAAAUCUGGGUUUUAUUUUCUUUUUUGUUUGUCUGAUCUUGUAGUGAAGAGGAAGCG
rnacentral:lncRNA from 1 species